rnacentral:lncRNA from 1 species
UAAUCUCAUGUUUUCAUCACGAUAAAACAUGCCCAAAUCGAUGAGCCAAACUGAUAAGUAUGGCAUCUGAUCUUAAAAACAGAUUACAUCCAAUAAACCAACAUGAACACUCAUUUACCUGGGCACAUGCAAAAGCAAAAAGCAAAGCAUCACCAUGUCUCCAAUGACUUCCCCAAAGGUGAAACUUAUUCUUAGAUUUGGCAGAAUUAUACGCACACUGAUUAAAAAUAAAAAGAAUGUUAAUUUAACAAAAAAUUAAACCUUAUCAAUUGAAUUUUGAUAUAAAAAUAUGUAUAAUAGCAUACACCUGAGCUACCCUAGCCAGGAGAUAAAGAGCAAGAGUUCGCCUCCGGUUAGAAUCAUCUAAUGCUAAAACAGAUAACCCUGCAACCGAACCUGCUAAAAAUCUGCUCCAUCAUAUCCCUUAAAUAAUGUUAUUAUAAAUAAGCAAUAUGAUCUAUGUAUUAUCAUUUCACAAACCAAAAACAAUUAAAAGAUUAAAAAGAAAAAUUAAGUAAAACAAGAAAAUAAAUAGAACUUACGCAUUAAAAGGCGUUUCUUUCCUUCUAAGUUUUCUCAGUAAACAUCUGAUAGCAUGAUAAGACCCUGUAAAUCCCCCAAAUAAUAAACCAACACGACAUGCUUCUUCUCUCACUAUUAAAUCUUUCUCCGACACAAGUUGCUGCCAAACAAACACAACUUUAAGAACUCAAUUUUUAAACCCAAUUCCAAUCAAUCCCACCAAGCUAAAAAUCGAAGAGUGAAAAACCUUGAGAUCGAGAAGUGAAGAGUAAGAUUGUCCUUUAGCAAGCUUAAAAGCUCGAAGUAGAAUACCAACACCAACUCUAACACCAUAAGAAAGAAGAAAGCUCUGGCAAAGAUUCCCAAUUGCGUGUGCAACGCACGAUUCAUCAGCCGGAUGAUCACAUGGUGGAUAGUGUCCGCCACGCGCCGCCCUGCGUUGCCUCCGUUGGAGCUCCUCUAUUGCCUCACGCAAACGCUCCUCCGCGUCACGGAGGCGGCGCUCGGCUUCGGAGUUGUCGACAAUAGAGGGAGGUGAUGAUGGAGGAAUUGAGGAGUCAGAGAAAGAUGGCAUUUUCUUUCCUGUUGAUGGAGAAGCAAAGGAUUGCUUAGCAUUUGUUAUAUAUAUAAUAUAUAAUAUAACCUUUUCUGAGAGAGUUGUUACUGUUUUUUUUUUGGGUUUUGUUGNNNNNNNNNNNNNNNNNNNNNNNNNNNNNNNNNNNNNNNNNNNNNNNNNNNNNNNNNNNNNNNNNNNNNNNNNNNNNNUUUCCUUUUUUUUUAUGUGUGUUUCUUUUGGCCUAAAGCAUUUAUGAUGAUUUUGUGCAUUUAUGUUUAUCAGCAGCAACAGCAAAAGCAAGACCCAUUAUAAAUCACAUCAAAAUUCACUUAACAAUUCAAUGCUACUUUUAAGAAAAAGAAGUGAUGUAAGGUCAAGGUAACUAGUCUUUACAACAGCAGUAGCAGUAAUGUAAAUAUUACUUGAAUAAAUAUUCAUCUACCCAAUUUCAUAUACUCCGUUUGGAGAUAUUCCUGUUUAUGUCAAGGGUUUCCUGUCAUGGGUGUAAUUGUUUUCUCUCAUUGUAGCUCAAGUAGGUUAGAGAAUGAUCUAUUGUACUGUGUCCCAUUGUCUGACUACUUUUAUCAGUCCUGUACUGUACUUCCAAUUUGUUCUGUCCAAAACAAAAAUAGUCCAACAUAUUUGAUCAUUGAAAUUGUGUAAUAGUAAUUCUUGCAAAAUAUAACUGCUCAUUUGCACACAAAAAAUAAUCACACACUCGAAUAAGAAAUUGAAUAGAAAUAGCUUAAAAUUGAUAUCCAUGAUACUUGCAGUGCGUUUACUCUUUCUUUGGGAAAAUAAUACAUAAUAUGCAAACAGUGUAACUUAAAUUUUCAGUUUCCAGUUUUCUCUGAGCCACUAGUGCUCGCUGCAUUUUGAUCUUUCCAUGAUGAUUGCCAUUGCUUGUCAUACAAUGUUGCUUCAUCAGCCAAGUUCCUCAGGUUCUUAAAAUCUUCAGUUCGCCUGAGAAGAAUUAUGCUAAUGACCGUCACAAGAAGUCCUGCUUUGCAUACCAGGUUUCCAGCUUGGCCAACCAUGUCAAGCCCUGUCAAUGCAUCCACAACAUAUGACAUGAAGAAUCCCACCAUUGCAGCUCUACCUAUGGGACAAAUGCAAGCGUUAGAUAGACAUAACAGUUAUGAGAAUAUAUGGAGUGGCAAAGUGAUGUGAGACAGCAAAAUUCAAACCAUUUAUUAGCUCUGCCUCUGGCAGAUAUGACCUUUUGAGCCACACCCACCAAGGUAUAAUGGAACUCCUAAACAGCACUGGUUCUUCAUUAGUAGAUGCUUCUGGAUACAAUUCAAGAAACUUUCUCCUCUUUGCUUCUGCAAAAACCAACGGAUAGUACAGAAACAUAUAAUGCAAAAGAUUGAUUAAUGCAAUUAUCAUCCUUGCCUGCUAGAGAAACCAUAAGUUUUGCAGUAUGGACAAGAGCAGUAAUUCACUCGCCUGCUUCAAUAAGACCAUCCCAAUCAAUUUUACCAUCCUUGACGAACAUAUUCAGAUCCCAAUUUCCCAUCUGCCAGCGCUCGUCAAUAAAUGUCGGAGUAGAGGAUUCUGCUUCAGGACCAUGAUCUGAUUUAUCAUCAGCUCUCUUUGAACCAUUAGCGUCUAAAGGAGGCUUCUCUUGUUGUUCAGAUAUGCUUAAACCUUUUUGGCCUUCAACAUUUAGAGUAACGACAUGGGUUACCUGCUUUGUCCCGAGAGGGCGUGCAGGUCUUGCUUGAGGCUGUUGUUUCUUGGUGACAUGAUUUGAACUGCAAGCUCUUUGCAAUGAGGCAGAAAUGGCAACGGAAGCCAUGGAAGGUGAAGGAGGCUUAUUUCUCUAUUCCUUUGGUCUUUCUUUCGGUCAGUGAUAAUGGUAGGAUAGGAGCAGGAAAUAUGCCCAUACUUCAUAAUAAAUAAUGUUAUCCUGACUGGCCCCUUUUUGCCUCUGAGAUUAUGGGCAAAUUAUUUUAUCUGGAUUAAUUUUUGAAUACUUUCUUGUGAUUCAAUGAAAGGGAAAAAGUAUUGCUGCAGAACAUGCCAUUGCUACCAAGGGAAGUAAAGAACACUUUUUGAAGUAAACAUUUCCAUUUUGCAUGGUAAUUUUAGUAUAAUAAACAGUAAAGGCUAGUUAAUAGUUUCAUCAUAUCCCUCUAUAGAACUCGAAAAUAUCAAUAGAAUCAAAGUUAAUUCCUCUUCACCAAUAAAAAGAAAUUCCUGUCUUUUCUUAUGCUCGAUGAAGCAAAGUGUAUAUAUUUAUUAAUUUAUUCUCUCACUAUUGUAUUUGUUUUUGCAACAAAUCAUAAUUUUUAUAAAUAUUUUCAGGAAAACAGAACACAACUUAAGAUCAAACUGUCAAACAGUUUCAGCACGUCAAUAAUAGUAAUCAGCAAUAUGCAUUUUAGUAUCAAAAUGAACAACAUCAAUAACCACAAUAACAUUCUUGAUGCUGUUGCCAAGAAUUUUUCCUUUUCAUUAAAAAAAAUUAUAGUAUCCCCCCAAUACUUGAGUCCAAAUAUAAUUUUGGGAUUCUGGAAAAAUAGUUUAACAGAAAAUUUGAAGUAUAGCAAAUAAUAGCUUCCCAAGUUUUCUACUCAGCUGACAAAAGGAAUAUCUCUGAGGAUGAAGGGGGUAAAUAGAGGAAUUGAAGACUAAAAAGAAGCUUAUUUAUGCUUCCCAUCCCCUUAAGAGAGUAGCCCGUGCAACCCGGUUUACCCCAAGGGUAAAGGCACCCAUCCGAAGAUUGCAAUCGUGUGUCUUGCACAUGUUCUUGAUGUUCUGAAAGGCUCGAGUCAUGUACCUCUGAAGCUCCUUAUUCACCUGUUCUUCUUCCCACAUAAAACCUUGAAUAUUCUGCAAAAUUGUACAAAUCAAAACUUGUUCAACCAUUUUCUCAUAAACUUAUUGAUGUAGGUCAACAUCUUAUGCAAGUCUUCUAAAUCAUUUGUGUCACAAUUAAGACAGAUUUCAUUCAUAACCAUCUAGGAAGAAUAAAGUUGAUCAAGUAGAAAUUUGGUGCACUGCACUAGAAGUAACAUACAACAUGAUUUCAUUCACUGGGAUCAAUCAUUAGAAAGCAAUUACCUUUAAUUACAUAGCAGGCCUCUUGGAUAGUAAUUUGGAUGAUCAGCAUAGAUUACAGGAUUUUAUGAAAUAAAUAAUGGAUUUAUUCUGCAGGGAUCUUUUCCCGAAUUUUGUGCUACUAUAUCAAAAAAUUUAAAGGAGAACAAUACUGUUGCUUUAAUGUUUUUAAUGUGUUACCUGAACCCACUCAAAGUAGCUGACAGUCACACCUCCAGCAUUUGCAUAUAUGUCAGGAAGUAUUACAACUCCUUUCUUAGACAGAAUCUGGAAAAUCAAAAUGUCACAAAUCAUAGCCAUAUAUAUUUUCUCCCAUCUUUUUUAGAACACAGCAAAAGAAAAGUGAAAUGGCACCUCAUCUGCUUCUGGAUCAGUAGGAUGGUUUGCUGCCUCUACAAUAAACUUAGCCUUCACGUCUGCAGCAUUUUCCCUUCAAAAGGAGAUCCACAGGAAUUUGGGCAAAGUUAGUUGAGCUUCAACAAAUUAGAAAAUACAAGCAUCUUCAUUUUUCUUUUCUCACAUUCAGACUGCAAAAGCUCAAGUAAUGUGUAACCAGCAGUAUCAUCUGACAUACUUAACAUUCAAAAGGACUAUUUCCCAAAAGAAGCACUUGCCCUCUAUGCAGGUUUUCAUGUUUUUUAGUAAUUGAAAAGUGAAUAUGCAAGAACUGCAAUAAUGCUUUUUUACUUUCACAUCAUAACCAAAUUCCAAUUGAAAUGAAAUCUUUGGGAUAAACCAAUGCAAUUUAGGAGGGAAGCAAUGAGUGAGAGUAAGAAAUCAAAAAAAGACAUACCACUUCACUAAAACUGAAAAGCAAGGAACAAGUUGAUAGUCCAGACACAAACCUGUUCAAAACUCCACCUAAAGCGCAUGGGAUGAGGACAUCACAUUCAUGCACCAGCAAUUCAUUGGGAUCCAUAGGGUCUCCACCAUGGAAAUUUGUCAAACUAUUAGUGGAAUCUUUAUGCCUAAGCAAUUCUGGUAUAUCAAUUCCUUUUGGGUUCUUGACUGCACCGGUGACAUCACUCACUGCUAUAACCUUCCCGCCUCUCUCAUGUAUAAGCCUUGCUGCCCAGGACCCCACAUUCCCAAAGCCCUGAAAGAAACAUUAAUUUUUAAAUGAAAACAAAACAAUCUCAGAAUUUAAUGAUGUAAAUGACAAUCAAAUUCACAAUUCAAAUCUAAUUACGAGUUACCUGAAUAACAAAUGUCAAACCUUCAAUGAAUUUCCCAUAUUCAGCAAGUAGAGCUUCAGUAGCAAAAACAACUCCACGACCAGUUGCAGCCUCUCUACCGAGUGAUCCACCAAGAUCCUAACAUAACAAAUAUGGACAUGAGAGGAAGGAGAAGAUAAGUACCAUUGUAUUCAGCUUCUAAGAUGAUUAUUUAAAAUUUUAGAAGCAUAAAUUUGGGAAGGCAGAUAUUUAAAACUCACUAAGGGCUUUCCUGUCACAACAGCUGGAGAGUGACCGUGAAAUUUUGAGUACUCAUCCAGUAUCCAUGCCAUGGUCUGUUUACAGAUUUUAGCCCAUAUCAAAAUUAGACCCAAAACAAAACUGAGCAUGUGAGAAAUGUAGAAAAAAUAUCAGUGGAGAAGAUAUGACCUGCGCAUUAGUGCCCAUAUCUGGAGCUGGAACAUCUGUAUGAAUGCCAAUGAGAUCAUGGAUUUUCUGAGUGAAGACACGUGUGAGUCGUUCUAACUCACUCCUACUUAAGUCCCUUGGAUUGCAUCCAAUCCCUCCUUUUGCCCCACCAUAAGGUAUGUCUGCUACAGCAGUCUUCCAUGUCAUUAGUUGAGCAAGGGCAUUUACUUCAUCAGGGUCAACCUGUCAGAAAAAGAAAAAAGUUAAGAAAUUCUUAAAAAUCAAUUUCAAAUCAUAGAAUCAUCUAAGAUAAAUUAAGAAGAAAAAGGAUCAGCCUUUGUCCAAGUGCACGUUUGUUCCAACAAUGGAGAAAGGAAUGGUGAAUCAUGAAUGUGGAAUGUGGACUUUAGUAAAAAGAUGGAAUGAACUUUGGAAAAAAGUUUACAUUACUUUCUACCAAAUUUACCAUACGAUAAUGAAUUAAGCUUAUUUCAGAUGUUUGAGAAAAUACCAUGUUCUCACUUAAAAUCAAUUUCACACAUAAUGGUGAAAACUAUUGUAAUAGGCAUCGAUCAUUAUUCCUCAGAAGUUUAUUCCAAUUGCACCCAAGUAAAGAAAGAUGCCAUUCUCUAGAUAAGAGUAGAAAACAGAAGCAGAUUUGCUUCAUUCAAAAGCAUAGAACUUCACUGUAGUGCUGUGAAAAGCAUAGCAUAAAGCCCAAUUCGGAAAAAAGAAAAACUCAGAACAAAAAGAAAAAUUAAGUUCUAAUCCCAUCUAGCAUCAAAACACGCCCUAAAUAAAGUCACACAAGAAAGACAAACAAAUUCCAAGGACAAGACAAAGAAAAACUGACUGAUAACUGAUAGCACACCUCAGGAUGGAAUCUGAUUCCUCCUUUCAUGGGCCCACGAGCAUUAUCAUGUUGCACUCUAAAUCCAACGUAUGAAACUAGAGUUCCAUCAUCUUUAGGAAUUGUGCAUUCCACCUGACCAAAUACACAACAACAAGAAGAUGAUCAAUAAAACAACAGGCUCUCAAUCUUAACAUAAUUAAUAAUAACACAAGAAAAAACAGUCUUUUUGUUCUAACAUAACAAUUAAUAACACAAGAAAGAGCCAAAUGCAAGACUCAGUUUUUCUUUAUUCAUUUAUUUAAAUACCUUGAUCUCUCUAAAAGGGAUCAUAAGACUCCUUUCAACUUUAGAGUCCAACCCAAGAAUCCGUGCAGCGUGGCGAAAAUUACGAUUUGUUGCUGCAAGAGCGUUCAUGGCGUACCCUCUAUUUAAAAUCUUGAAACAAAGAGAACACAGAAGAGAAAAAAGAAUAAAUCUUGAAGGGAGAAGAAGAACCUAUAAAAAUUAAACUAGUACAAUAACAGAAACUUGAUGAAUGAGAAAAUAACGAGAAGAGAGGGUAUGUAGAGAAGGUUAGGCGAGUGGUUAUUUAUAUAGGGGAGGUAGAUUAGAGGAUGAAUGAUAUGGAUAAUCACGGAAUUAAUAAAGAGAGAAAGGGUGUGACAGAGAAAGAGCAAACCAGAGAAGAAUAAUGGGACAGCUAUGGAAGUUAUAAUUUUUUUAAUUAUUAGAUAGUUAAUGAUGUGGAGAGAAAGAAGCAGAUGGAGAGAGCUUUUUUGGAGUAAUUCCCACCUAUGACACUUGUUUGAGUAUAUUUUCAUUUUAAUAUUUAAUAAUUAUCACAUAUUUAACUAUUUAAAUUAAUAAAUAUGUUUUGAUAAAGUUUAGUGAAUGUUAAGGACAUGCAUUUGUUUCACCAAAAAAGAUAUGCAUUUGGACAAUCUUUUUAAGUAUUGAAAAGUCCAUUAACUUUUACUUUUACUUUACUAUUCUAUUAUUUUUAUUCAAAUCUAAUUUGUCAUGUUUUGACCUUUUAUUAUUAAAAUAUACAUAAUAUCUAAAUUUUUUGGUGAUUAAAGUUCAACAAAAAUUGAAGCCGAGAGCUGUUCACUCUAAUAAUUCUUAUACUCUAGACUCAAGGUAAGAUAAAUCUUCAAGUUAAGACCUUGUAGAGGCAGCUUUGCCAUGAGAGGUCUUUAUGCUCAUUUGGAUUCUUAUAGCCGAGUUAGUACUUUUCAAUCACAGAAGAACAUAUCGUGCAAGCUAAUAGCUCAUAGCCAAAGGAUCGAGAGGAAGAGAUGAAGAGUUUAGAAAGCCAUAAGUUAAUCUCAAUAAUUGGGGUUUUGGUAAGGUCUUUUGGUUGGAUUCAAGAAUCUUCCUUAUCCAUUCGGACCAAGAAGUGUUGACCAAUCAGGAAAAAUUUAAACUUUUUUAUCAUAUAUUUGACUACUAGAAUCUCUUUAUAUGUUAAAUGGUAAUGUCUUUCUGAUGGAAAAAAUUAUCCUGAUGUAUAUCCACACAAUUGUUCCUUGUUAUUGAGAUUUUCAAGAAUAAUUGUCUUACCUGCGCACUUUCAAUGUUAUUCUUUGAGGAGGAAAACUAUUAUCUUUGUAGUUCUUAUAAUGUGUUAAAAGACUAAAAGGUCCUCUCAGAAAAAGAAAUUAAAAUUUUACUAGCUAAUGAUUUCUAUUUAUAAUUCAAUUAUAAAAGUAAAAUAUUAACAUUAAAAUCUGCGUCUUAUUUACUAAAACUAUCACUAUGUAAUAGAUUAAACUUCAUCAUUUAAUGAUGGUUAUUAGUAAAAUAAUUAUAAAGAAAAUAAAUAAAGUACCGUAGAAUUUUAUCUUACCAAAUUACAAAAACAUAAUACCAUUAGAUGGUAACUAAGAACAUUUAAAUUUAUUGUAUUGGGGAGUAGAAAUUUUGACGUGUUAUGAAGAGUCCUAAUCCUAGUUUCAUCUUUACAAUUAAAUCAAGAUACCACUUAAUUAGUUAUAUUAUGAGAUUAAAUACAUAAGAAUGUGAUAAUCGGAAAUCUAUAACUAAUUUAUUUUUUUUCAAUAUCAGCAACAUAUUAAAUGUUGUAUUCAAUUCUAACAACCCAUGUUGAUAAAGGGCUCUCGUAACAAGAUAUACAGACUAUAUUUUAUGGGCAAAUCAGUCAUUGCGCACUCCAUGGAUUAAAAAAAAUAAUAAUCUAUUAGUCAAUAUUGACCGUUGGAUCAAGAAAACAGGGCAGAGAUUAGGAAGACAGAUUUCCACGUGAAAAAACCUUAACACAAGUCAUGGCUUGACUACGCAAGCACCGUUGAUUGUUGACCGUUGGAUCUUCAUACCUUCACCACUUAACCUGCCUCUAUUACGUUUAAGACACGGGAUUACACGACGACAGUUAGUCAAUAUUGACUUGCAACUGUUUCAAUCCACGUGGCAAUAUGUCAUUAUUGGUUGGCGAUGGCGUUGGCGCUGAUGAGGGGGCUACCAGUACCGGGAGAAAGCGGUAAGCUUCAAGCGUUUUUUCGCAGCAUCCAAUUGAUGACGUGUGCUGUAUUUCGAAAGGAUAAGAGCUUUAUGUUGCACAUGAAUUCGCACUUGGGUGGGUCUUGAAAUGAAAUAUAAUUUAAGAUUGAAUUAAAAUUAUUAUUUGAUUUAAACAUAAUUUAUUAUUUAAUAUAAAAUUAAAAUACAAUUAGUAGCUAUUUUUAAAAUAAAAUUAACAUUAUUAUCUAAAUAAAAAUUAUUUAUUAGAAAAUAUAUAUUAAAAUGUAAUUAGUUUUUUAUCUUUUAUAAUUAAAAUUAAUAUUUAGUUAAGAAUAUAAUUUAUUGAUUAAUAAUAAUAUAAAAUAAUAUUUAAAUUUAAAUUUAAAUUAUGGUGCGAACAAGGAUUAAGGAAUGAAAAAGAGAGAUGAAUAGUUGUGACUAGAACCAACUUAUUGACACCGAGGGUGAAACAUGAUAGGCACUAGCUGGCUUUCCAGCGACGAACGAUCAAGAGAGAAAGCGCGAGUGGAUUAGUCAAUGACCGCAAUAACCUCACAAAUUUUUUAUAUGCUUUGUUAUUAUUUGUAUCUCAUACUCGCAUAAAAAAUGUAUCCUAAAAGUUGAAUACACUAUACCUUAAAAAAUAUUAAAUUAAUAAAAAAAAUAAAAGAAAAUAUUAGAUUCAUAAAUUACAUCGGAAAAUAUAAUAACUUUUUAAUUUAAUACAUGAUAAAUCAAUUAUAAUCGGUGAUAAACAAUAUUAUUUAUUAGAUCAUGAGUUGCGCAGUGCUAAAUUUUAUAAAUUUGGAAAGUAAAAUAAAAAUGAUUAAACUAAUUAAUAAGUUUCACUAACACAUAAGUUAAUAGUCUCUUGAGCAAGUCAUAAAAAAUGUCUUAAAAUAUGAGUGAAGUUUCUUUUCUUUUUUUCAUUGGCAUGAAUUUUAUUUUUUUUCAGAAUUUAUUAUCUUUUUCAAUUGCAGCCUCUUGAUCAGUAAUAACUAAUCUUAUACAUAAAAUAUCAAAGAUAUAUAUAUUUCGAAAAAUUAUCGGUUAAUUAAAACUAACUUGAUUAAUAAAAUUCUUAUAUUCCAAAAUAGUUGAUGAAGAUAAAAAUUCUUACUAAAUAUAAGAACUCUAUUUUGUUACCGAUGAUCUUAUACUACACUUUAAAAAAUUUAAGCCUUUCAACCCAUUGUAAUUUAUUGUUUGAAACUUAACUAAUUAAAAAAAAUUCUUAACCCAUAUUUAAAUUAUAUUUUCAUUUCAAAUAAAAUUCUAUCCUUUUAUUGGAAUGAUACCACUUAAUUUUCAUUCAUUUAAAUAAAUUAAUCACAUUAAUUAAUAAGACAUGAAUUAAUAAAAAAGAAGACGAGCGAUUAAUAAAUAAAAUAAUAACAGAUACUUCUAAUUUUAAGAAAUAAAAGAAAAUCUAAAGCAUAAAAUAUUUUUAAAGAAACUUGCAGUAAUUAUAAAAUUCAAUCAGUAUUUUGAAUUAGUCAAAUUAUACAUUUAUCGAUUAUAUGUUUAAAUAAUAAUGGGCAUUAUAUAUGCAGUAUUAUAAAAUUUUCCGUAUGAUUUGUCAUUCAUAAUAAUGAGCAUAUCUAUAUUAUAAAAGAAAAACCUAUUAAAAUUAAUCAAAAGACGACUUAAAUUAUUGAACCACUAUUUUCUUUUUAGAAAAAUUUAGAUUCAGUGCCUCCACUAGAAAUUCUAAAAAAACAAUUACAAGCUCAAUUAGUUCAGAAUCUAAUAUAUGGGAUAAACAAAAUACAGAAAUACAAGAACAAAUAAUACAUUCCACUUGUAUCUUCAGCUUUCCGCUAGAAAAAGAUUCAAAUUUCACAAAAGUAAAAGCGCAAGAGCUUAAUAAGAUAAAAAUAAAGUGCAAAAGGUGCACUUUUCCUGAGAAAUCAUCUUGUUAGCAUUUUCAAGUUAAGAGAUAUAUAUAUAUAUAUAUAUAUAUAGUUGAAAACUCAUGAUGUCAAUGAGCCAUUAAUUAAUAUCAAAUUUGAAAGACAGAUUCCCACAAGCCCCUGCUAAAACUGUAGAACAACAAUCCCCUAUGAUUUCUGAAUUAAAGAAGGCAUUGCAUAGGCAAAGCCGAGUAUGAAUUACUCAAAGUUUCAUCUUAACCUCAACGAGAAACUUAAAAUCUUAGACCGUGAAUUCAUAAAUAACUACACAAAAAACAGAAAAAGGAAAAAAAAAAAAAAAAAAAACACAACAUUUGCACAUCUAGCGCCCCUUAAAGCUUUGUGCUCUUUAAUGCAAGUAAAUGCAAGAUUUGUUUGAUGUCCAGGAACCUAUAGCUCCCGCAAGCUAUCAAUUGGAUAAAUCAGACCGGCCUUGGCCGUGCAAAUGAUGAUACAGGUCUUCCUAUCCCUUCAUACAAUCACAAUAGUAAUACUGAACAUCAGAAUCCAUGAAGGCCCUCCGGAAAUGGCCGCUGAUCACUAGUAUGGCCUGUAACGCAUGGGUCUCCUGAACCUUGGAACCCUCCUGAAUAUGAGAUAAAUUAACAACGUGAACAAUGAUGCAGAACUCUUCACUGCUUCAUUAAACCUAUUACAUAGUCAAACAAAUAAAAGGUAUGCUAGAUAUGACAAUGAAUAAUAUGUGAAAAGAAAUAAUCAAAUAGCAUGAGAUGGCCUCCGAAAGAAUUCCACAUCUGAUGGGGAAAAGGCAGCAUAGCUGACAUAACACACAAGGUCUGGAAACAUUUCCAUGCAUGAAUGUUAACAGCACACCAAUUUGAAUGACCUGGGUAACUCUAACUAGAUCUCCAAUGAAUAAAACGAGAAUGAUCUUUAUGGUUGAGGUAGCCACUUGCAAAAGAUAAUAGCCUGAUGGAACUCCUUAGUUCUAAUGCUAGUCUGCUGUAGCCACUUCAUAAGUGGAACUGAAACUUUCUUCUAAUUUAACCAUACCCAGGAAUCCUCGCAAGUCAUGAGCAAUCGAGGUCAUAUCAGAUUCAAAUAAAUCAAAAUGGACCUCAAAUACAUGAAUCACAAAAAGGCACCAAACAAUUUGCUGUUUCCAAUCAUAAUGCCCAGAAAUAACUAAAGGGCAUGCGGCCUAAAGUCAGAUUCAAUUGAUAGCUUGAUCAUUCCCGAGUUUAAAAUUAGACACCCUUGAAUAGAAUAUGGCAGAAUGGCACAGCGUAUUGAACAACAUUCAACAAGGACUUUGCUUGAAUCAGAAGAGCAAAAGCAUACUGUCUAAGACCUUAUUUCUUUUAAAUAGGAAGAAGGCAAGAAGCUCUCUUCUUAUAGAUAGGAAAGGUUUUCAUGCAUCAACCUUUUAUAAUCAUAUUUUUGAGAUGUUAAUAUGUUUUCUUCUAGGACUGUAAGUUAAAAUCAAAUCCUUCUCAAAAACUGAUAACUCUAAAUAAAUAUAUCGACUAUCAAAGAUAUGUACAUCUUGUACACACUCAUUCAUGAGUAUGAAAGGAGACAAGCAUGAACGGAAGUCAACUAAAUCACAAGGAAAAGUAACAUGCUAAGUUCUUAUAUUCCCUUCAUCGUACAAGACAUCAAAUGAAAUAAAGAUAUUUAAAUGCUUACCCAUACCCAUAUGGGGGAAAGAAAGGAGCAGGCAUAAAUGGCCUUCGGGAUCUGAACCCAGAAUAAGGGUUGGGACGCCUUCCUCGAUACUGCUUCAUUCCAGGAAUAUUGGUACGCUUAGCAGAGACCUAAAGAUAAAAGAACCAUCAAAAUAGUCAUACAAGCAAAUCUACAGAGCAAUUAACAGCAAAGCAAAUAAGUUAACAUACCUUUAACUGACGGCCAUGCAAUUCCGAUUCAUUCAACAAAAGAGCAUUUUGAACAGCAUCAACCUCUACAAAUUCAACAUAUGCAAAACCCUUUGGUUGACCAAACUUGUCAGUCAAAAUUGUCACUCUGUUUACAGUUCCACAUGAUUGAAAAUGCUGCUGAACUUCUUCAGGAGUACAGGCAUAGUCUACCUGAAGUCAAAAACAUAAAUGAAGAGCAACGAUUCUUCCUUUCAGAUCAGCUUAUUUAAAGUAGCAGAAUCAUUGAAACAUCAGAACAUAAAAACCAGGUAUGGAACCAAUCCAGACGCAGAGCAACCAACACCAGAUUAUAUAAACCUAGGUUACAGUAUUCAAAUGCACGAGGAUGAACUCAUCAUGAUAUAUCAAAUCAUCAUUUAAAUGGUUCUUGCAAAUACACUAGUAAAACCCCCAUUUAAACCAUCACAAAGAACAAGCAUUACCAUAUACUUGCAGAACUAAUCAUUUUUACAAAGAAAUAACUCAAAAAUAAAAAUAAAAAAGGUGAGAAAAGGAUAGUUAACCCUCACAUUACCAACGUAUAUAGAUCGCGAAUCCACCUCCUCCUUCUCAGCCUGCGUUGCUGAACCACUUGAGGAAUCUGUAGACAUGUAUGACAGGGGACUGUUAACUAAAAACAUCGUUUCAUCCUGUAGAAAUAAAAUAUAGAGAAAAUACGCACAGAAUGUAUUUGAAUCACAUAAAUAACUUAACAUAGCAGCUGAUCAUAUACAUUUAAUAGCCAGUAUUUUAUCUAUCAGAAAAUUAUCGACAACAAUUAGGUGUCACUAAAGGUACCAAUUUAUUUCGAGGAAGACAAAACUAUCCAAACGUAUACAAAAAGAAAAAAGCUGCUAAAUUCUACUCUUACAAGACCACAGCACAAUAUAUAUAGAUAGAGGGAGAGAGUGAGAGAUGCCUUGAACAGCUCCCAUCUCCUUCUCAACUUUAGCCUGCAUUUCACGGAGUGCGCCGGCUUCUUCUUCAAUCUCUUUAAGUCUCUUCUUCAUGUCCUCCAAAUCCUAAUCCAUCAAGAUCACUAUAAGAACAAAAAAACAGAAACAAGAUAUAGUUAACAAAAAAGAGAAACAAAAAGAGAGACCUUAGAGUUAGGGUUUUGUUCGUCAUAUUCUUCUUCUACUUCUUCUUCUUCUUCCUCAGGUCUAGAAGACAUGUCGAUAUCAGCAUCCAUCUCUCCCUCAUCGGGAAUCUCACUGCCAUACACCUCAUGCUCUUGCUCUUCAUGCUCGUGCUGAUCCAUAUUAUUUCCUUUUUCUAUAUCUCCACCCGCACUAAAAUUUUUGAGGUUUUGGGGUUUUUGAUUUGAUUUGAAUUGAUUAAAAAAGAAAAAACCUAAAACUAAGCUAGGGAUUGGGAGGUCAUGUUUGUGAAUUUGUGAAUUGUGGUAUCCCGUGCCCGAAUCGAUUCGGUGGAUCGGGAGAGAAAAGGUUACUUUGUAAUUUUAUGACUUUAGGCAGGCAACUCUGGGUUUCUCUUAAUUUAGGCCCAAUAUAGUCAUCGCCUAAUCACAGUUAGGCCUUAUCCGUAUACGACGGGUCUAAACUUAGUCAUUGAAUUGGGCCCGUGACACAAAAUAUUCUGCGCUUGUUUACUUUAAAAUUUAUUAUUCCAAUUUUUUAAAAAUAUUUUCAUAUACUUUAUAUUUAUCUGCAGUAUUUUUUAAAAUAAAAAUAGAAAAUAUUUUUUUAUAUUUUUAACUAAUUUUUGAAAAAUUUUGAAAAUAUUUUUAAAAAAUUUUAAAAACAAACUAGACAUAUUUUCUAUACUUUUUUUUGUAUAAGAAAUUUUUGUUUUCAAACGAAAACAAGGAGUUUCCACUUUAUUUAUUUUAAGUCUACUCUUUAUAUUUAAAAUAUUAUCUAAAUAUAAAAUAAAAGGUUUUCUAUAAAGUAAAUAUGGAAACAAAGACACCAGUGUUGGCGGUUAUCAUCUCCUCGAAGUAUGAUAGGUAUGAAAAAAAUAAUUAAUUGUAGAUACCAGACUAUGAGAUUGCAAGUCGAAACUCUGGGUUUAAUUAUCAAAGAUGCAAUAUUUUACUUUCAUUCUCAAGAAAACAAAUAUCAGCACCAAAUCUUGAUAUAGUAUUCUGGUUUAUACUUAUAGCUUACAAAGAAACGAAAAGAGGUAAAAUUUCGCAUGAGACGAGCAUACACCAUAGAUAUGAAUAUACAUAAAUGUUUCUAUGUUCUAUAAAUACACUCUUCACAUCUAUAGAGGAGGAAGCAGCCAUUUGGAACCCUCGAUAAAGCCAAGAGAAAGGAAGGGUGCAACUUCUGCAUCAGUUAGUUGUUUGUUGUAUUUAACACGUCCAUCUGGAGCAGCACUUGGUCAUGUGUUUUUAUAUUCUCCAAACACAACCUUGCUGCAAAUUUGAUGAAAUUAAAAAAUAUAUAUAACUAGAUAAAAAAUACUUACACUUCUCGCUCGGAUGGUUAUUACUAGACCAUCCUUCGGGAUUGACAACCCCGCUCAUAGAAGUAUAGGCAAACACUACCCUUGGGGCUUCCAUCCAUCCCUUUCCUCCCACACUGCAAUGUACAAAUGAAAAGCCAGUAUCUUCUGAAACUUGCCUUGCUUGUGCUGUUAUUACUGUCGGUGCUGCAUCUGUUAACACAUUUAUCUCCAUCUUCUGCAUAUAUAUGUGCAAAUUUAUAUUAAGGACUAUUGCAAAAUAAAUACUAAUAUCGGGUUUAAUGCCCCGCUGGUACCGAAUCUUGGUCACUUAUAUCCAAUCGGUACCAAACUUUCAAUUUGUUUCUUUUUGGUACCACUUUUAUUAUUUUUAUAUCUUACGCCAGUACCAAUAAGGAAUCCGGCACUUAUUUGCUAUUGUGGCUGCCGGAUUUAUGAAGGAUAACACACCACAUGCCAUAUCUGUUGCUCACUCAACAAAUAGUUAUCAAAGUCAGCAAUUAACAACAUCUCAACCCCAAAUAAAUAACUCUAAAUCAGAAAAAUUUCAAUUUAUGAAACCUAGUUUUAAUUAUUUCGAUCGAUUUACUUUCUCUAAUAAUCGAUUAUGUAACUUCAUUGUUCUUUAUCUUGUCGAAUAAAUGGAGCAAGAAACAACUGAAAGUGUGUUUAGUGUUGGAGUUGAGCCAGUGAUCUAUAUGUGCAUGUGGAAUGGCAAGUGAAGCUUUACCAAAAACAAUUGAAAGUAAAGCUUCGUUUCUCGAAAUGGAAAGAAACUCGGACACAAGUUUUGGGAAUGCUCUCUUAGUUUACGUUGAUAUGUUUUUAGUUGUAAUGAAGAUUUCUUCUUGUACAGGUUCUUCAUCUGUCAUUUUAUUAAGUUAAGAAUGGACAUUGGCGAAUCUGACCUUACAACUGAGCUGCUGAAUGAGUAUAAAAAUAUAUUAGUUUGCUAAAUUCAAAGCUGCAGAAAAUGAUAACAUCUACUGUAUUUCAAAAAAAUAAAAACUCUAUGUCGCACAUAGGUUGGCACUUGAUUAAGUCUUGAAAUAAAAUAUAAUUUAAAAAUUAAAUUAAAAUUAUUAUGUAAUUUAAAAAUAAUUUAUUAAUUAAUAUAAAAUUAAAAUAUAAUUAGUAGCCAUUUUCAAAAUAAAAUUAACAUUAUUAUCUAAAUAAAAAUUAUUUAUUAGAGAACAUAUAUUAAAAUAUAAUUAGUCUAUUAUUUUUUAUAACUAAAAUUAAUAUUUAAUUAAAAAUAUAAUUUUAUUAAUUGAUAAAUUAUUGCAAUGGACGAGCCUUUUAUAUUACAAUAUAAACUUUCUAUUAUAAAUAGAAGAUUUAUUUAUUAUUUAUUAAGUAGCAUAUAACAAUAUGAUCAACCGUGACAAAGAAAAAUAUUUAAUAUAAAUAGAAUUCGUUAUAAAAUACAUGUAACAUUUAAUCGUGGGAAAAAUUGACCCAACUCCUUUAUUCGGCCACAAAUACGGGAAUUAUCUUUUUAUUUAGGCUACCCGACAUCGUUUAAACUAAAUCUUUUUAGGUAUUUAUAAUUGACAACAUCCGAAUUAUUCCUUAAUUUUCAAUUUUGAUCCCAAGAAUAAACAAGACCUAACCCCUUCCAUAAACAGGCUUCCUUGGAACUAGCAAGUAAUACAAGUUGAUAGGCUGCAAACUUUGGCAAUUGGCAUGCAGUGCAAUACAAAUAAUAAAAGAUUCCAAAUGACAAUAUUAUCAGUAGAAAACAGAUUCCUUCAGACACUCGGAACAGAACUUGUAAUAGAAAGAUUAUUAAAAUCUGUUGCCACAUGAGAGCUUUGCCAACAACACGCAUAUAAACUAGCAAAUGAAUUCUAGAAAGUCUCUCAUUUCCUUACAAGUAGUCUACCUGUUGGCAUAUGAGCUGAUCAUUUUCAGCUUUAACUAUAAAUUAUGAAGUUCUAAAACACAAAUCAGGCUCAUUACACUAGAGAGACAAAGAUGCUAUACCAGAAUUACAUUCGGUGCAUCGAGAAACAGGCAACAGGGAAGGUAGGUCUUGUAGGUUGGUCUGCAAAUCCAUCAAAAGAACCUUGGGCCUGCUGAUUACGGUGCAUGGAUUUCAUAACCUAAGAGUAGAUGAGUGUUUCAGAGAAACUUCUGAGUAUAAGCUGAUUUUUAUAGCUCAACAUGAAAAGAGCUCUCAACACAUAGAUUUUGUGAUAUAAAUAAUUGUUGCAAACAAAAAUAAAAAAUAUUAGAAAUAAUUGAUGUGUAAUAUGGAUAAUCAUGGAUUCAUGAUUUAGAAUUUUCACACGUUUACAGCUCGUGAAACAAAUGGAUGUGCAUAAGCUACCUCAGCAGAUAUAUUCACCCCAGUGCUUUCAACUAAGAUGAUUCAGGUUAAACUUCUUUCCUGCAAAAAUAAUGCAACAUAUGUAUGAGGAUGCUGGUUGUGGUAGUUAAUGGUCUUGUAUCAUGAAGCAAUAAUAGCAGAUAUGUUACAUACUUUCUUUUUCUUCGAUCAAUUCCAGUGUUCCGCAUAUCAUUUUUUGCAAGAGUAGAUCCAGGGGGCAUGCCAUAUGGCAUGGGAGAGAGGGCUGAGGCAGAAGCAGCUGGCAUAGCAACGGUUGUAGGAGGCACAGGUGAUGAUUGCAAAGGUGGUAGAGGUAGAGCAGAAGUAGGGGGUGUAGGAACAGGUUCAGGAAGCGGUCUAGGUAAAAUGUGCUUCAGCCGGUUGUUUCUAUAGUUCUUCCAGAAAAAGAAUUGCUGCCUAUGUGUCAAUUCCUAAGAGAUCCAUGUAUCAGCAAGUUAUAUGAAAAUAACUAAAAACAUACAAAAUUAACUUUUGUUUUAAUUUAUUCAAGAGCAUGCAAAAUUUUGUCUGGAUCACAGAGAAAUUAGACUUUACUCUUCAAGCCAUGCAAUCUAACAAGGAUAAACUAAUGCAAAAUAGCCUAACAGAGAACAAUUAUCUGCAUUAGGAACAGAUUUCAUGCAGCAUAUAAUAGCAACACCAACGGAGAUACCUGAUGAGGAGCAUUAGACCAUAAUGAAGAUACAACUAUGUCUACGAUGAUAGGGUAUCACUCUUGAAGGAAGGUAAGAUGGAUCAAGUUUGCAAUUACUCAUAACGCUAAUCAAUUAAGUGAAUAAGCCGAGAAAUUCUGAGCCAAAUGCUACGAUCAUUCACAAACUGAAAUCCUAUAGCACCAAUGAUGACACAGAUUUAAUCUUUGCUUUAAGGGUUACUAAAGGGCCAUGAGAAUGAAACCUUGUUGCCAGGAUGUGCCAUUGCAUUGCGGAAGCUUGCAUUUUGAAGCAAUUCAAGAAAAAAAAGGCAAUGAGGGUACCUGGGAUUAUACCAGAUUAUAAGUGCAAGAAUUAAAAAUAAAAUAAAAUUGAACAAGAAUGUUAUAAACAAAAUUACAGAAUCAUUUCAUUUCAUAUAACAACUUGAAAGUCAAACUUCGUUUAAAAUAUCCACAAGAGGGCAUAAUUGUAAGAGAUUAUUAACUCACAUAAUAAAUUUUAUAUACUCAGGUUGUUGCCAGUACUGAAGGUAUUUCAAGUAGCCAAUAAAUGCUUCAUCUUCAAAAUAGCGAUUCUGAGCCAAAUCUAUAUUGGCAAGGGAAAGAAAAGAAUCAAGAACUCAGCAUAAGGGUCAAAUGCACAAAAAUUAGAGCACUAAUAAGCAAAAAAUUUAAGGGUUUUAUGGAAAAUCAAAUACAUGACUUACAGUGGAUAUAAGUGGGAUUAGCUAGACAUUGGACAAAUUCUAACUCAAGUAAAAACCGCUGCUUCCCAUCAUCAGGAUCCUUGUAUAUGCUCUUUGGCCUGAAAAUUUAGUUUAAAAACUGAGUCGUAUAACCCAAAUUGUAUUAUCUAACACAAAAAGAAAAAGAAAAACAAAUAUACCGGCUAGUAAGUUCAUGAAUAAUUGGUUUUAGUGAAAGUGGAGAAAAGAUAAAAGGAAAGCGAGGUAGAGGACGGAGUAUCUAUCGGUUUCUUUGGAAGAAGCCAUAUAAUCAUUUGUUAUGGAAAACUUAUAAUUUCAAAGCAUAAAAUGCCAGGAUUUUCUUUUAAAAAAAAAUUAAAAAUCUUGGAUAUUAUUUACCAAAAACAAUCAAUAGUGUUCUAUGAUGGUGCGAACAAGGAUCAAGGAAUAGUUGUGACUAGAACCAACUUAUCGACACUGAAGGUGAAAAAUGAUAGUCGCUAGCUGGCUUCCCGGCGACAAACGAACGAGAACGAGUGGGUUAGUCAAUGACCGAAAUAACCUCACGGGUUUUUAUAUGCUUUGUUAUCAUUUGCAUCUUAUACUCGCAUGAAAAAUGCAUCCUAAAAAUUGAAUAUACUGUCCCUUAAAAAAUAUUAAAUUAGUGAAAAAAAAAAAUAUUAGAUUCAUAAAUUGCAUCGAAAAAUAUAAGAACUCUAUACAUUAAAACAUGAUAAAUCAAUAAUAAUUGAUGAUAAAUGAGAUUAUUUAUUAGAUCAUGAGUUUCGCAGUGCUAAAUUUUAUGAAUUUGAAAAAUAAUAUAUAAACAAUUAGACUAAUUAAUAAGUUUCACUUAACACAUAAAUUAAUAGUCUCUUGAGCAAGUCAUAAAAAAUGUCUUAAAAUAUGAGUGAAGUUUCUUUUCUUUUUCUUAUCGGCAUGAAUUUUUUCUUUUUUCAGAAUAUGUUAUCUUUUUCAAUUGCAGCCGCUUGAUCAAUAAUGGCUAAUCUUAUACAUAAAAUAUUAAUGAUACAUAUAUAUAUAUAUCGACAAAUUAUCAGUUAAUUAAAACUAACUUGACUAAUAAAAUUCUUAUAUUCCAAAAUAGUUGAUGAAGAUAAGAGUUCUUGCUAAAUAUAAGAACUCUUUUUUGCUACCAAUGAUCUUAUACCACACUUUAAAAACUUAAGCCUUUCGACCCAUUGUAAUUUAUUAACAACAUGAGCAAUGACGAAUUGGUAGCAAAAAAUAAAUUAGUUAAUAUAAAUCUAAUUUUUUCUUUUAUUUUCAUUAAUUUAAUAUUUUUUAAGGGACAAUAUAUUCAAUUUUUGGAAUGCAUAUUUCAUGCGAGUAUGAGAUGCAAAUGAUAACAAAGCAUAAAAUAACCCGUGAGGUUAUUUCAGUCAUUGACUAACCCACUCGCUCUCUCUCUCUCGAUCGUUCGUUGCCGGGAAGAUAGCUAGCGGCUAUAAUGUUUCACCGUCAGUGUCGAUAAGUUGGUUCUAGUCACCCAAUUGAUUGUUUUUUAUAAAGAAUAUCCAAGAUUUUUAAGUUUUUUUUAAAAGAAAAUCAUAGCAUUUUAUGCUUUGAAAUUAUAAGUUUUCCAUAAUAUAGGAUCGUAUGGCUUCUUCUAAAGAAACCGAUAGCACGGUUGAUACUCCGUUCUCCUAAGUCUUCUACCUCGCUUUCCUUUUAUCUUUUCUCCACUUUCACUAAAACCAAUUAUUCAUUGACUCACUAGCCACAGUAUAUUUGUUUGUUUUUUUCUUUUUAAUGUUAGAUAGUACAAUUUCUGUUAUAUGAUUCAGUUUUUAAACUGAAAAGAAAUUUAUUGUUUGAAACUUACCUCCUGAAUAUGAGAUAAAUUAACAGCGUGAACAAUGAUGCAGAACUCCACUGCUUUACUAAACCUAAUGCAUAGUCAAACAAAUAAAAGGUAUGCUAGAUAUGACAAUGAAUAAUAUGUGAAAAGAAAUAAUCAAAUAGCAUGAGAUGGCCUCCGAAACAAUUCCACAUCUGAUGGGGAAAAGGCAGCAUAGCUGAUAUAAUACACAAGGUCCAGAAACAUUUCCAUGCAUGAGUGUCAACAGCACACCAAUUUGAAUGACCUAGGUAACUCUAACUAAAUCUCCAAUGAAUAAGACGAGAAUGAUCUUUAUGGUUGAGGUAGCCACUUGCAAAAGAUAUUAUCCUGAUGGAACUCCUUAGUUCUAAUGCUGGUCUGCUGUAGCCACUUCAUAAGUGGAACUGAAAUUUUCUUCUAAUUUAACCAUACCCAAAAAUCCUCACAAGUCAUGAGCAAUCAAGGUCAUAUCAGAUUCAAAUAAAUCAAAAUGGACCUCAAACACAUGAAUCACAAAAAGGCACCAAACAAUUUGCUGUUUCUAAUCAUAAUGCCCACAAAUAACUAAAGGGCAUGCAGCCUAAAUUCAAAUUCAAUUGAUAGCUUGAUCAUUCCCGUGUUUCAAAUUAGACACCCUUGAUUAGAAUAUGACAGAAUGACACAGCGCACUGAACAACAUUCAACAAGGACUUUGCUUGAAUCAGAAGAGCAAAAGCAUAGACUGUCCAAAAAAAAUUUUCUUUUCAAUAGGAAGAAGGCAAGAAGCUAUCUUCUUAUAGAUAGGAAAGAUUUUCAUGCAUCAACCUUUUAUAAUCAUAUUUUUGAGAUGUUAAUUUGUUUUCUUCUAGUACUGUAAGUUAAAAUCAAAUCCUUCUCAAAAACUAAUAACUCUAAAUAAAUAUAUCGAUCAAAUAUAUAUAUAUCUUGUACACACUCAUUCAUGAGUAUGAAAGGAGACAAGCAUCAACUGAAGUAAACUAAAUCACAAGGAAAAGUAACAUCCUAAGUUCUUAUAUUCCCUUGUCGUCCAAGACAUCAAAUGAAAUAAAGAUAUUUAAAUGCUUACCCAUACCCAUAUGGGGGAGAGAAAGGAGCAGGCAUGAAUGGCCUUCGGGAUCUGAACCCAGAAUAAGGGUUGGGACGCCUUCCUCGAUACUGCUUCAUUCCAGGAAUAUUGGUACGCUUAGCAGAGACCUAAAGAUAAAAGAACCAUCAAAAUAGUCAUACAAGCAAAUCUACAGAGCAAUUAACAGCAAAGCAAAUAAGUUAACAUACCUUUAACUGACGGCCAUGCAAUUCCGAUUCAUUCAACAAAAGAGCAUUUUGAACAGCAUCAACCUCUACAAAUUCAACAUAUGCAAAACCCUUUGGUUGACCAAACUUGUCAGUCAAAAUUGUCACUCUGUUUACAGUUCCACAUGAUUGAAAAUGCUGCUGAACUUCUUCAGGAGUACAGGCAUAGUCUACCUGAAGUCAAAAACAUAAAUGAAGAGCAACGAUUCUUCCUUUCAGAUCAGCUUAUUUAAAGUAGCAGAAUCAUUGAAACAUAAGAACAUAAAAACAGGUGUGCAACCAAUCCAGACGCAGAGCAACCAACACCACAUUAUAUAAACCUAGGAUACAGUAUUCAAAUGCACGAGGAUAAAUUCAUCAUGAUACAUAGAAUCAUCAUUUAAAUGGUUCUUGCAAAUACACUAGUAAAACCCCCAUUUAAACCAUCACAAAGAACAAGCAUUACCAUAUACUUGCAGAACUAAUCAUUAUUACAAAGAAAUAACUCAAAAAUAAAAAUAAAAAAGGGGAGAAAAAGAUAGUUAACCCUCACAUUACCAACGUAUACAGAUCGCGAAUCCACCUCCUCCUUCUCAGCUUGCGUUGCAGAACCACUUGAGGAAUCUGUAGACAUGUAUGACAGGGAACUGUUAACUAAAAACAUCGUUUCAUCCUGUAGAAAUAAAAAAUAGAGAACAUACGCACAGAAUGUAUUUGAACCACAUAAAUAACUUAACAUAGCAGCUGAUCAUAUACAUUUAAUAGCCAGUAUUUUAUCUAUCAGAAAAUUAUCGACAACAAUUAGGUGUCACUAAAGGUACCAAUUUAUUUCGAGGAAGACAAAACUAUCCAAACGUAUACAAAAAGAAAAAAGCUACUAAAUUCUACUCUUACAAGACUAAAGCACAAUAUAUAUAGAUAGAGGGAGAGAGUGAGAGAUGCCUUGAACAGCUCCCAUCUCCUUCUCAACUUUAGCCUGCAUUUCACGGAGUGCGCCGGCUUCUUCUUCAAUCUCUUUAAGUCUCUUCUUCAUGUCCUCCAAAUCCUAAUCCAUCAAAAUCACUAUAAGAAAAAAAAACAGAAACAAGAUAUAGUUAACAGAAAAGAGAAACAAAAAGAGAGACCUUAGAGUUAGGGUUUUGUUCGUCAUAUUCUUCUUCUACUUCUUCUUCUUCUUCCUCAGGUCUAGAAGACAUGUCGAUAUCAGCAUCCAUCUCUCCCUCAUCGGGAAUCUCACUGCCAUACACCUCAUGCUCUUGCUCUUCAUGCUCGUGCUGAUCCAUAUUAUUUCCUUUUUCUAUAUCUCCACCCGCACUAAAAUUUUUGAGGUUUUGGGGUUUUUGAUUUGAUUUGAAUUGAUUAAAAAAGAAAAAACCUAAAACUAAGCUAGGGAUUGGGAGGUCAUGUUUGUGAAUUUGUGAAUUGUGGUAUCCCGUGCCCGAAUCGAUUCGGUGGAUCGGGAGAGAAAAGGUUACUUUGUAAUUUUAUGACUUUAGGCAGGCAACUCUGGGUUUCUCUUAAUUUAGGCCCAAUAUAGUCAUCGCCUAAUCACAGUUAGGCCUUAUCCGUAUACGACGGGUCUAAACUUAGUCAGUAAAUUGGGCCCGUGACAAAAAAUAUUCAGGGCUUGUUUACUUAAAAAAAAAAUUAUUCCAAUUUUUUAAAAAUAUUUUCAUUUACUUUAUAUUUAUUUGCAGUAUUUUUUUAAAGUAAAAAUAGAAAAUAAUUUUUUAUAUUUUUAAAUAAUUUUUGAAAAAUUAUAAAAAUAUUUUUAAAAUUUUUUAAAAAUAAACUAAACAUAUUUUCUAAAUUUUUGUUUGUAUAAGAAAUUGUUUAUUUUCAAAUGAAAAUUAUUUACUUUAUUUAUUUUAAGUUUACUCUUUAUAUUUAAAAUAUUAUUUAAAUAGAAAAUAAAAAAAUUUCUAUAAAGUAAAUAUAUUUUCUAAAUUGUAUAAAUUUUCUAUAAAAAUAAGAAGUUUGUUUACUUUAAAAACUAAAAAAAAAAAAAAAUUCUUUACAAGUAAACAUGUCCUUAUAGUCUGUUAUAAAUAAAAUUAUCCGGUAAUUUCAUAUCAUAAAUAAAAAAUUAAUUAUGAGCUUACUACAAAUUUAUGAUUUAAAUUUAAUUUUUCUUUAAAAGAAUAAACGCUAAACAAAAAUAAAAUUUAGACAAACUAAUUGCAACAAGGUACUGGAUAGUAAUUGAAAGCAUCUCUAUUUCUUAUUCAGAACUUUACGUAUGAUUGUUCUAAUACGAAAUUCUUGGAAUUUGAAGAGAGCAUAAUGAAGUUUUUAAAUCUAAAGAAGCAAAGGGUGGAAUUCUAAAUUGGAGAGAAAUGCCGAAAAGAAAAUGUACACACAGAAUGUUACUCAAGAUUCGAAGAGAAUAAUCCCUCCAGUAUUUGUAGAGACACCAGUGUUGGUGGUUAUCAUCUCCUCGAAGGAUGACAGGUAUGAAAAGAAACUCUGGGUUUAAUUAUCAAAAAUGCAACAUUUUACUUUCACUUUCACGAAAUCAAAUAUCAGUACCAGAUCUUGAUAUAGUAUUCUGGUUUAUACUUAUGGCUUACAAAGGAACGAAAAGAGGCAAAAUUUCGCAUGAGACGAGCAUAGACAACUGCAUGUCCCAUUCCCCUCACAUAAAUACAUAUAAAUAUUUCUAUGUUCUAUGAAUAAACUCUUUACAUCUAUGGAGGAGGAAGCAGCCAUUUGGAACCCUCAAUAAAGCCAAGAGAAAGGAAGGGUGCAACUUCUGCCUCAGUUAGUUGUUUGCUGAAUUUAACACGCCCAGCUGGAGCAGCACCUGGUCCUGUGUUUUUAUAUUCUCCAAACACAACCUUGCUGCAAAUUGGAUUCAAUAACAUAAUCUUAAAGUUUAGACAUUAUUUAACUCUACUUUGAUGAAAUUAAAAAAUAUAUAUAACUAGAUAAAAAGUACUCACGCUUCUCUCUCGGGAUGGUUAUUACUAGACCAUCCUUCAGGAUUGACAACCCCGGUCAUGGCAGUAUAGGCAAACACUACCCUUGGGGCUUCCAUCCACGCUCGGCCUAAGAGGGCUCCAGUUCCUGUUCCUCCUACACUGCAAUGUACAAAUGAAAAGCCAGUAUCUUCUGAACCUUGCCUUGCUUGUGCUGUUAUUACUGUUGGUUCUGCAUCCGUUAACACAUUUAUCUCCGUGUUCUGCAUAUAUAUAUACAAAUUUAUAUUAAGGACUAUUACAAAAUAAAUACUAAUCUCACUUGAAGUAAAAAAAGUUAGGAUUUUUUGUAUAAAUGAAUCUUGAUUUUUAUUGUUAAUGAGAAAGAAAAAAGAGUUUGGAGGAAAGGUUUUAUUACUAGAUAAAUGGACUUUCCACUCCCGAAAAUGAAAUCAACAGUGCCCUCAAUAUAGCAAUCUUUGAAGAAAUGGAAUCCCUUAUCAUCACAUAAUGUGUCUUGAAAUCCCAACAUUUUGACUUUGUAGAAAGCUGCUUUACUGCCGCCGAUUCUUACGGCAAGCGCUUGGGCCCCGGGUCUUUUUCCAUCAGGUCUGGGUGCAGUGUUCUACACAAUAAAGAAACAUCCAUUAUGAUAAUAAAUGAGAACCAAAAGUACAAUUGUUUAAUCUUCAAGGAUAAAUAGAUAAUGAUAAAGAAAGGAAAAAAAAAAAACCUGAAUAAUGAGAUUAGCUGCAAUAAAGUAUUCAGAUUCCACUUGUAAUGUAGCACUAUAAACAGUUCCGAAUUCUUGAGCAGUGCCCCCAAAUGCUAUGGUAGCCAUGUUGGGUGGUCCAAGAAAUGUAACAAAAGGUUUAUCCCUUUCAAUGGUGAUUUUCUCCUUAUAAGUUCCAGGUCCAAUAUCCACAAUCACACGUUGUGUGUUUCCCGAUGGGAUACUUUUAACAGCAUCGGUUAUCGUUUUAAAUUCUCCACUUCCAUCUAGUCUAACCUUAAUGGUUUUAGGGUUAGCCUCAGCAGCUUCUAGGGCAGGGUCUAAGGUGCCCUUACGAUCUGCCAAUGGCUUGACAUUAGCAGAAAACCAACCUGCAAUUCCAGAUGCAGCGUCUGGCAUUGGCGUGGUGUCAGCAGAGCUAACAAUAGUGGCUGUUAGAACAAUGGCAACUAUGGCAUAUUGCACAAAGCCAAUGAUAGAAAGGUGUCUAAACAUGAUGUAUGAGUAUUUUCUUUUUCUUUUCAGUUUGUUGAUGUGUUGCUUGUUUGUUGUCUUGAAGUAUUUAUAAGUGAGCUGCAUAAAGAAAAGUCUAAAAAUAUUUAAGAUUCUGAGUGUUCCUCGCAUACUCUUAUUUGUUAUUUUGUCAAAUUGGAGCGCUUCUCGCAAUUUCAUGCUUCUCAAUUUUUGUAGGACAUGAAUGGACUCCCUGCAUUUCGUUUCUUUCUUCCCUUGAUUUGUGGUUCAAAAUGUUUUGAUAAAUUUUAUACUAAUCCAUUAUUAGUAUUUGGCAUGGCCUGUACCUUUAUUAUAAAGUUUUUGCUAUUUAUUAUAUAUUUUUUCUUUUCGGACAAGUAAUUUGUUUAAAAAAAUGUGUCCAACUGUUUUACUCAAGAAUAUAAAUUCCAGUUGCAUCUAGAAUAUAAAACAUGAUAAUCUAACAAAAAUUCCAUUCAAGCGUGUUUCAGAAUAUAGACUUAAAGGCUGCAACAGCCAGAUUUAGGAGAAUUAUGGUUUGAUGUAUUUUGAGCAUGAACUUCUUAGAAUCAUUUAGGAGGAACUACCCAUUCAGAACCAACAACAAUCAAUCUUGUACUUGUUCGUCUGUUAGUUGAUCUCUAUACUUGACAUGUACGUUGAGACUCGUUCUGCAAUUCGAGAGGGCUAAUGUUAAUUAUUUCGUAAUGUGAGAUGACGAGUUAAAAUCUAAUUAAAUCCAAUUAGUUAAUGAAAAAAUGAUUAGAGAAUGAUGUCGCAGCCUUCUCAUUCAGGAUGGAGGAUUAACAAUAUUUCCCUAGUUAAUAUAAGAAAACACCACCUCUCCCUAAUAAUGCUGCUGUCCCUUUUCCAAUCAUAUUGCAAUAUACAAAUACAAAAUCUACUGUCCUCUUCAAGAUUAUUCCUUACUUGUGUCGUUAUCACUGUCAACCCCAUUUCAUGCAACUCCGUGUCCUACUUUUAAUUCUAAUAAUUAGUUGUUAAUUUAAUUUCUUGAUUACUUUGUGUCCAACAGGUAUUAAAAGAUAUAUACAGUGCCAUGCCUUUUAAUUGCCAAAUACAGGGACUUCCCACUUUCAAAAAUAUAAUUAAUUUGAAUCGAGUACAGGCUUGUGAGGUUUAAUAAUUACUAUUCAGAAUUUUAAUGUAAUAAACGAAAUAAUGGAAUCAACUUGUGUGAGCCAAAAAAAGAUUUUUUUCGUGGUUAAAUACAAGUUAAUUUUUUUCUCUUGAUAAAUUUGAAAGCUGAUGGUUGUCAAAUCUUUGAUUACGUGACAUUUUUGCCGGAGCAAUAGCUGCCGGACUCUUCAGGCUGUAUCAUUCAUGAAAAAAAUUAUUCUCAAGUUUACUUGCGGUCUGCUAUUUGGAUCACCAGGAGGCAACGAGAAAGAUGCAUUUCUUUAGGACUUCAAACUAGCUGUUAGAGGAACUUGGUCAGUUCCUUGUAUUUUCCAGGGACGAUAUUUCAUAAUGCGUUGCAGGCACGAAUCUACAGGAUAUGCAAGCUACUUUCUCAACUGAUCAAAAAAAGAAAGAGAGAACUGGAAAGUGGUAACUUGGGUUCUCAUGAUAACAUUAUCUCAUGCUUGCUAAUUACAUUGAGAGACGAAAAUGGAAAACUUCUUUCCCAGAAGAGGAUAUUUGUAACAAUCUUAUAGCUUUAAUGAUUGCUAGUCACGAUACCGUUACAGUUCUUCAUGUCUUCAUUACACAGCCAGCCAGAGAUGCAGAUGUUUAUAAUGAGGUGCUCGAAGUUAAUUGAAAGCAUCUGUUUUGUUUCCUGAAGUACUUCAUCAGAUAUGAUCGCAUGAUUGUUCUGAUCUUGAUCUGAUCUGGGAAUUCUUGGAAUUCGAAGAGAGUGAAUGAAGUUGUUAUAGCUAAAAAGCAAAUGGUGGAAUGCUUAGUUGGACAAAAAUCAAAAAAAUGAAAUACACAGGAAUGUAGCUCUGGAGUUCAUCAGAAUAACCCCUCCAAAUUUUGAAAUGUUCAGGCACAUGCUAGUAGAAACACUAGCUUUGGUAAUUAUGAUCCCCAAAGGAUGGCAGGAAUGAAAAAAAAAAUUUAAUUGUAUAUGUAAGGCUAUGAGAUUAGGAGUUGAUACUCUGGCUCCAAUUAGCAAAAAAGGAAAAAAGUAAAUAGAUCAAAAUGCAUUAGAAACUGCAUAUAUAUAUCAAUGACAUUAGAUCUGAAGUUAAUUAAACGCCGAAGCAACGAUUUUAUCCAGGUACUUUGGGUAGCUGGUUUUACACAUUUGAACAAGAAAAUUUUUCAGGAUCCAGAAAAGUUUGAUCAAUCAAGGUUUGGGACAUCCUCGAACUCAAUUCCUCCAUUUAUUUAUGUUGCUUUUGGGGCAGGCCAGAGAAUUUUCCCUAGAGCAGAAUUCACUCCAAUUGAAGUGCUAUUUGAUAAUUCAUCGUUUGAUUAUUACAUAUCUAUGGACAGAAGUUUUCCCAGAAGAACGGGAUUUACUUGAUCCCACGCCUUACCGGACAAAUCUUUCCUCAUUGACAAAAAAGAAGCAAUACUUAUGGGAUACUCCAAUUAAAGAAAAGAGAAAUGUAAUUACCAAUACCAAAAAUGCAUUACUUUACUUUCAUUCUCAAGAAAAUAAAUAUCAGCACCAGAUCUUGAUAUAAUAUUCUGGUUUAUAGCUUACAAAGGAACGAAAAGAGGCAAAAUUUCGCAUGAGACGAGCAUAGACAACUGCAUGUCCCAUUCCCCUCACAUAAAUAUAUAUAAAUAUUUCUAUGUUCUAUGAAUAAACUCUUUACAUCUAUGGAGGAGGAAGCAGCCAUUUGGAACCCUCGAUAAAGCCAAGAGAAAGGAAUGGUGCAAUUUCUGCAUCAGUUAGUUGUUUGCUGUAUUUAACACGUCCAUCUGGAGCAGCACCUGGUCCUGUGUUUUUGUAUUCUCCAAACACAACCUUGCUGCAAAUUGGAUUCAAUAACAUGAUCUUAAAGUUUAGACAUUAUUUAACUCUACUUUGAUGAAAUUAAAAAAUAUAUAUAACUAGAUAAAAAGUACUCACGCUUCUCUCUCGGGAUGGUUAUUACUAGACCAUCCUUCAGGAUUGACAACCCCGGUCAUAGCAGUAUAGGCAAACACUACCCUUGGGGCUUCCAUCCACGCUCGGCCUAAGUGGGCUCCAGUUCCUGUUCCUCCUACACUGCAAUGUACAAAUGAAAAGCCAGUAUCUUCUGAACCUUGCCUUGCUUGUGCUGUUAUUACUGUUGGUUCUGCAUCUGUUAAUACAUUUAUCUCUGUAUUCUGCAUGUAUAUGUACAAAUUUAUAUGAAGAAUUAUACUAAUAUCACUUAAAAAACAAAAGUUAUGAAUAUUUUAAUAAAUGAACCUUGAAUCUUAUUGGUAAUGAAAAAGAAAAAAGAGUUUGGAGGAAAGGUUUUAUUACUAGAUAAAUGGACUUUCCACUCCCGAAAAUGAAAUCAACAGUGCCCUCAAUAUAGCAAUCUUUGAAGAAAUGAAAUCCUUUAUCAUCACAUAAGGUGUCUUGAAAUCCCAACAUUUUGACUUUGUAGAAAGCCGCUUUACUGCCACCGGUUCUUACAGCAAGUGCUUGGGCUCCAGGUGUUUUUCCAUCAGGUCUGGGUGCAGUGUUCUAUACAGUAAAAAAAAAAAAUUAUGAUAAUAAAUGAGAACCAAAAGUACAAUUGUGUAAUCUCUAAGGAAAUAGAUAAUGAUAAGGAAAGAAAAGAAAAACCUGAAUAAUGAGAUUAGCUGCAAUAAAGUAUUCAGAUUCCACUUGUAAUGUAGCACUAUAAACAGUUCCGUAUUCAUGAGCAGUACCCCCAAAUGCUAUCGUAGCCAUGUUGGAUGGUCCAAGAAAUGUAACAAAAGGUUUAUCUCUUUCUAUGGUGAUUUUCUCGUUAUAAGUUCCAGGUCCAAUAUCCACAAUCACACGUUGAGUGUUUCCUGAUGGGAUACUCUUAACAGCAUCGGCAAUAGUUUUAAAUUCUCCACUUCCAUCUAGUCUAACCUUAAUAGUUUUAGGGUUAGCUUCAGCAGCUUCAAGGGCAGGGUCUAAGGUACCCUUACGGUCUGCAAGGGGCUUAACAUUAGCAGAGAACCAACCUGCGAUUCCAGAUGCAGCCUCUGGGAUUGGCGUGGUAUCAUCGGAGCUGACAGUAUUAGCUGCUAGAACAAUGGCAAGGAUGGCAAAUUGCACAAAGCCAAUGAAACAAAGGUGUCUAGACAUGAUGACUGAGUAUUAUUUUUUUUUUCGUUUGUUGAUGUUGCUUUUUGUUUGAAGCUUUAUAUUGCAAUUUAUAGGCGAGUUGCGUGUAGGAAAGCCUAAAAAUAUUUAAGAUACAGAGUGUUCUUCGCUUUCUCUUGCUUGUUAUUUCGUCAACUUGGAGAGCAUCUCGCGUUUCCUUGCUUUUUUUUUUUUUUUUUCUAAAAAAAAAUUUUGGAAGGACGUGUAUGGCUAUUGCAUUCUUUUCCUUUCUCUAUUUUUUGUCCUUGAUUAGUGGUUCAGAAUAUUUAAAUAAAUCUUUACUGAACCAUCGCAUAGGCUAUAAAACUUUUAAUACAAAAGCAAGAGAGUAUGCAUUGUGCUGAACCAACAAAUGAAAAAGAAAUGGGAAAAUAAAACAACAAAAUAAUUAAAUGCUAUGUAUUAUGUACCUGAAUAUAAUGAGAUUAGCACCUACGACGAAAUCAGACUAGACGGUUAUAGUGGCACUAAAUACAGUUGUAUAUAUUCAGCAGCAUUACCAUCAGAUGACAUGGUUGGCAUGCCGUUAGAAGAUCCAUAAAACCUGACAAAUGGCUUGUUUCUUUCAAUUGUUCUAUUGAAUAAUUAGAAUUGCUUCUGGAAUUCUUAAUGGCACCAGACAUUUGAAAGCUCUAGUUCCAUCAUUGCUAGCCUUAAUUAAUGAUUUGAGGAUUAGGGUAUCACUGCGACUUCUACAGGGUUUAACAUUAGCUUGAAACCAGUUGUUUAUGUUGGAUUUAGAAGCUGGUCUUGAUUUUGUAGAUGGCAGCAGGAAUUACUUGUACAAUGGAAAUUAUAUUUAGCACAUUGAAUAGCAGCAAGGCAGUCAUUCCUCUUGCUAUUUUGUCCAAUCUAAUUUGGAAGAUCUCGCCAAGAUGUUUUAUGUUUUAAUUUUUACUUAAGUUAUAAGCCAAUUCGUUAUAGAAAUUCUUAAAAUUUGUGGGAAUAGGGAACAACUCUCACUAUCUUUGUUUAUAAUUUUUGAAGUAAGUCUUAGAUAUUAAUCAACUCUUUGAUAUUCAGAUGAGGAAAAAACGAAGAAUUUUCUUUAAUCAUUUUAUUAUGAUUAGAUUCAAGUUUAACAAGACUUAAUCUUAAUUAUCUCUUCUUAUUAGUGAGCUCUAAAUCAAUCACGUUUCAUCCGCUAUCUUAUCAAUUAUCACUUCUGUGUAAUCAACUCAGAUUCCAAUAGAUACAUAAUUCAAUUUGUGAUGGGUACUGACAUGCUGCUUUUGUAUAUGAUAAAUCUUGUUAUAGACACCUGCAUCAGAGUAAAGGCUAGUAAAGAAAUCUACCACCUUCUGACUAAUUGUAUCAUAGUCUGAGAAUUCCAGAUGCCAUUUGAUUCUUCGAGGGAAGUCACUGGAUUUCUCCGUCUACUAAUAACUGUGGAUGACGGUUCGCGAGAUUUUUGAAACCAAAUGAUUUCCUCUUGAAGCGAAGGUUUCUUUGAAUUCUCUUUCCAAGCAAUUUCAAAGCAUUUUUGCUUAAUCAAUAUACCCGUAAGCCUUGCAAUCAGUUAACUUUUUCUGGUAGAGAUGUUCCCAAAAGUUUUUUUAAUCAAAAUCUAAACUUUAUCAAUAAAACUUUCACUUGUCAUACAUAAACUGAGAUCUUCUUUCUAAUUCUAUUGGAUAAAACUCUAGAAAUCUCUAUGAGUGAGCCAAGCUGCCUGGAACCAAAAUGGUAUCUUGUGUUUGAUUGGACUGAGAUUAUGGGUAAGUUGAUUAGAAAACCGACAGAAACCAAAUAAAUUAAGAAAUCAGUUAACUAAAAAAUGGUCAUUGAAGUUGUAAUAAUUUUAAAGGUUUCAAUUUAAACUUUUAAAAGACUAUCAGUUUGAUUAAUCAAUGGAGUAAACUAUUUUUUUUUUUAGAUUUUUUACUUUAACUAAUUUAUAAUCAAUUAACUGACAAGUUCUUAUCGAAUUUUUUUCUCUGAUAUGUUUGUUUUUUUUUUUUUUUCAGUCAACGUAAUUGUUAAAUUGAUCAAUAUUUUUAUUAAAAAAAUCUAAAAUCUUUCUACAAGCAAAAUAUUUAUAGCAUACGUAUAUUAAUUUAAAAAUGUUAAAAAUACAAUUAAGAAGUCGAAAUCCGAAAUCACAGUGAUACCCUCAACUAGAUAUUACACAUUUCCCAGCAUGCGCUUGUAUUUGUUAUAUUGCAGCUUAGCUUGGAGGUGGAAGCAACCAUUUAGAACCCUGGAUGUAUCCAAGAGAGAUGAAACGCUUGGCUGCCGAAUCGCUCAGCUGCUUGCUGAAUUUAACACGUCCACUGGGAUUUGCUCCUGGUCCUGAACACUUGUAUUCUGCGAAUAAAAUGUUCCUGCAAGUUCACAUAGAUUUAUACUCAUGAGUACUUUAGUUUCCCAAUCACUAAUUUUAUUUCUUUUCAAUUUUUAGCUGGAGAUGAAGUUGAUGGAACUGGGUGCAGAGACUAAAUGGUAAAAAUUUUACUUACUUUUCUCGUUCAGGGUGAUUGUAGUUGGACCAGCCAGCAGGAAUGACAACUUUACUCAUUUUAGAAUAAGAAAAUACCACCUCAGGCAUUUCCAUCCAUGCUCUUCCCAAGUAUGCAUCAGUUGCAUCUCCAGUUAUGCUGCUGUGUACAAAUGAGAAUCCUGAAUCUUCCGAACUGGUAUGCUUUGCUUGUGCUGUUAUCACCGUCAUAAACUUUUCCUUAAUUACAUUGAGAUGUGUUUUCUGCAUUUUAGACAAUAUUUGGAUUACUUAAGAAAGUCUUUGUAUAUUAAUAAAGAAAGGAGUAGAAGUUGCAGAUAAUAUAUAUAUAUCUGUUACCAGAUAAAGAGACUUUCCACUCCCGAAAAUAAAGUCAACAGUGCCUUCAAUGUAACAGUCCUUAAAGAAAUGACGGCCCUUGUCAUCGCAUACUGUAUCUUGGAAUCCAAGAAUUCGGCAGUUAUAAAAAGCUGCCUUAUCACCAGCAACUCUCAAAGCCACUGCCUGAGCUCCUGCCCUCCCAUCUGGCCUUGGUGCAGUAUUCUAACCCAAAAUAUCAGGAAAAGAAAAACUUGAGAAAAAAGUCAAGCUAAGGAAACUUAAAAGAAUUCUGUAAGGUCAUGGCCCAAGUAACCCGAAUAAUAAUAAACAAAUAAAUAAAUAAAAUGAUACAAAUAUAUACCUUAAUGAUGAUAUUGGCAGCAACGAAGUAAUCAGCUUCCACUGUCAAAGUGGCACUAUAGACAGUUCCAUACUUCUUGGCCGUACCAGCGAAUUGCAAAGUUGGCAUAUGCUUGGAAGAUCCAAGUAAUGUGACAAAAGGUUUGAUCCUAUCAAUUGUUACUUUCUCUGUAUACACUCCACAGCCAAUAUCCACAAUCACACGAUGUUCAUUUCCUGAUGGAAUACUUUUAAGAGCAUCUGUCACGCUCUUGAAAUCUCCACUCCCAUCUAAUCUCACCUUAAUUCUUUUGGGUGCAGCCUCUGCAGCUAAAAGUGCUGGGUCUAAGGUGCCUUUACGACUUGAAAAGUGCUUAACGUUAGCUUGGAACCAGCUAUUUACUUGGUUUUCAGCUGCUGGAAUUGGUGUUGCAUCAUCAGAGAUAACGGUUGUAGCAGCAAGAAGAAUGGCAGCGAUGACAUAAUGAAUAAUGGCUAUGUAAGUUAUUUGUUUAGCCAUUUUGUAAUUGUUUUCUUCUGCUGUUUUUUCCGUUGAAGUUGGAUUGCAAUAUUUAAAGCCAUUUGGAACUCUAAAAAAAGUGGGACUGAGAGGAUUUUGCGCGUUUUCUUGUCAUUUUUUUUAAGGAUUUGCGGUUUGUUGCUUAUAGUAUUUGACUUUAAUUAUGUCGUCCUAUUUGGUCUUUAUUUAAUUUUGAUGCUGUUAUUUUUAGUUGGUCUUUGACAAAGUUUUCUAAGCAAAGGCUUCUUUUAAUUCUUUUCCAAGCUAUUUUAUCGUUAAUCUAUGGGAGUCACAAUGGGAAAGGGCUUGAUCAAUAUCCAUAAUCCUUGCAAUCAGCAUACAUUUUCUGGCAUAGAUGUUCCCAAAAGUCUCUUUAUUCAAAAUCUAACAACUUCGUAAAUAGAACUUUUAUAUGCUUUCUCUCUCUCUCUCUCUCUCUCUCUAUAUAUAUAUAUAUAUAUAUAUAUAUUCAUUUCUGUUGAUAAAAUUUUUGAGUGAGCCAAGCUGCUUGAGUAGAACUUUCUAGAAUUGGGAGAGCUCAAUAUAGUCUGAUUUGAUUCUCAGGAAAGUGGAGAACUAUUGCUGAAGAACAAAGCCAGGAACAAGAAUACAAAGACCAAUAGUUAAGGACCCCAGGUCAAGACCUCAGGUCAUAUCAUCACAGGCCUAAAAGCUAAGAAAAUGAGCAACCUUUAUUCCCUAAGGAAGAAAGGUCGCUUCUACCUUUCUCAGAACGGAAAGGAACGUUGAUAUAGAGCUCAGGAGAUCAACAGGGUAGCAAUAAGACCGUUACCCUUCAUUUGUAUAUAAAAGAACACUCUCAUACAUGUAAAUCUAAGAAUUUAACUUGUAAACUCAUCACAGAUCAAUAAGACUUCUAAUUACAUUUUCAUCGUGGUACCAGAGCAGGCUUGAUCCUGUCAUCACUUACCAAUCCAAACCAAACCACAAACAAAACAAUCUUUCUCAUUAUGUCUCACAGUGAUAUUACAAAACUAACCAACACUGUGUUAAGAGGCAAUCAAAAUUAUUUUGAAUAGUCGAGGUCAGUUUACAUCGGCCUAAGUGGCAGAAAAAAAAAUAGGGUUCAUCACAGAAACUAGAAGCAAGCCACAAUCAAUCAAUCCGAACCAACCAACGAAAGAAGAAAUGGAAGCAAUAGAGGAGUGGCAGACGACAGACCAUAUGGUAAUGUCACUACUCACAAAUACUAUGGAGCCUCAGAUAGCCAAAUUCUGCAUGCUACUGGAAUCCUCACAGGCAAUUUGGAUCAAGAUGAAAGGCCUAUAUGGCCAUGAGGAAAAUUAUGCUCACAUCUUCAAUUUAAAGCAAGAACUAGCACAAAUAAAAUAAGGGACUCGGACAAGCACGAGUUAUGCGACUAAGGUACUGACCAGAUGGGAAGAACUACAGAGUUACCUCCCACCGACAACGGACCCAUAAAAGGCAAGAAGAAAAGCAGAGCAAGAUUUAGUGUAUACUUAACUGGGGGGGCUGGAUUCGAGCUACGAGGCUCUGAGGUCGCUGAUUCUAUUGUCAAGCAAGCUUCCUAAAAUCGACGCCGUCAUAGCCAUCAUCCAGCAGGAAGAGACUAGACACGCGACUAUGAGCACAGCUAAUAGCUUCGACAACACAGAGAAUAAGGCCUACAUUUCCCACCUCUCACACCCUCGCGAGACGGCUCAAAUGAGAGGAGUGCCUGCCAGCGUCGAGAGGUGCGACCACUGCAAGAAGCAGAGGCACUCUCAGGAUUGUUGUUAGCAUCUCCAUCCCCAUCUGCGGCCGAGUCUCAGCAGGGUUAAGAGAGAAAGAAGUAGGAGACGAGAGAAAGAAGAGAGAAGGAGAUUUGGUGGCUUAGGCGUCGCAAACUCGUCUAAAGGUUAUGACGAGGCGUCUGGAUCGGGUCGAGAGUUAAGCAGCGGGUCAGAUUUUUUUAAUUCAAUCCGACCUAGCUCCAGCGACCCGACCCGACUCCAACAUCUAGGCUGACCCAGAUCUGACCCGUUUUGUUCAGCCGACUCGACCCGGAUCCAAUCCAACAGAAAAUUCUCAACUUUCCCAAUUGAUUUCUCAGCUCCAGUCCAUUAUUGAGCUCUAGUAACCCUGUGGGUCAGGUUUGGUGUCUAAAAAUUACGUGAAUUCUUUAAAAGCUUCUCACAAUUAGAUCAUCGACUUCGGUGCAACAAAUCACAUGACAUGGGAUGCAACAAAAUUAUAAAAUUUUGUACCCAUUGAUUCCCAACAUAUAACAGAGAUUGAGCUAAAAUCUCUGGUUUUGGCUCCUCAAAUUUAUUGCAUAAUAACAUACAUGAUAUUCUUUUCUUACCAGAUUUUGAAUCUAAUUUAUUAUAUUUCGGUAAGAUAACUAGAACCUUAAAUUGUAAUGUUAUAUUCUCACAUACUACAGUGUUGUUUCAGGAUCGAAUCACAGGGAAGACGAUUGGUGAGGGUCGUUUUGAAAAUGAAUGAGUUAUUUUCUAUACCCAAUUAAACCCGUAGUAAGCCUGACACUCACUGAUUUAAACAAAUCUCAUCUCAAAUUAAUAUUAUUAAAGCCACAAUUUAUCUUAACAGCUACAUUCUACAUAAAUACUUCGGUCUCCCAGAAAAAUUAGGCGAGACCCGAAACUCAUAAAAUUUACAACUAAUACAUCUACUAUUACUACUGCGGAGAAUCUAAGAUUUACCAAUUUACAUACCAAAUCAAAUACAUCACCCGAUGAUGAAGGAGUCGGGUUACUAAAUAAGAGUCGCGAGAGGACUAACAGUCACGAAUCUGAAAAACAGUAAAAAUGAGACUGUCAGUCUCGAGAGUGAGUUAAAAUCAAAUAAUCUGGGAACUAUUGCAUUCUUCUCAGAAAACAUAGAUUGUUCGAAUCAGUAUAUCAAACCAUGCACAUAAAUACCAAUCAUACUAUAAUCAUACCCUAUUACUUUCUUCACAGAAAAUAUUGAUCAUUCGAAUCAAUAUAUCAACCAUGCACGUAAAUACAAUCCAUAUUAUAAUCAUACCAUAAUAAAUAAAUAAAUGAAUAAAUAAAAAUAUAUUUUUACUUUUACGGGACGAGUGGCUCAGUAGAACCCUAACCCCAAAUUCUAACAACCAUUUUUGCUCUCUUAAUCCAAUAAGACUGGCGCCCCGAGAGCAAUGCUCGACCAGGGACCUUACUUCCAGUCUGGUCACUUAAGUAUCCAAAUAAGAAAAUCUAGUAGCCAUUUGGCUCUCUUAAUCCAAUAAGACUGGCGCCCCGAGAGCAAUGCUCGACCAGGGACCUUACCUCCGGCAAUUUACACAAAUCAGCCCAGAGAGCCAUGCUCGACCAGGGCAAACCCAUAAAAAUCUGAUUACAUGUCCAUGAUCAUUACCGGUGCGCAUGCGGUCCUGAUGUAACCCAUCAGGCGGCAUGUUCUACGAAAGCCACAUCCCCAAAUCGAAAUCAUCACAUAUAAUAAAUAUCAUUGUAUAAUGAAAUCAUUCAAUUAUAUCAAAAUAACAAUUAACAAUUAAGAGUAAGACAUCAGGCAACUCAUAUGGAAAACUGAUUAUAUAUGGUAUUAUCAUAACAUUACUAUAAUAAUACUUAUAUUACCUUUAAUAAUGAAUAAUUCAGUGAAGUUAUUUACGUUGCGAUACUAAUAACCAUAUUAAGCAUGAACUUUCAAAAUAGCAUAUUAAAAUCAAACUUAGCAAUAGCGCAAUGAUUAAAUGACUUUAACUCACAGAAUUGGGCAACCUCCUAGCUCUGCUCCGAUGCCUCAGUUGGAGCGAGCCGAACAGACAGAUCAUCUAAUCACGGAAAACAAUUUAUCAAAACGCUGAAACAAUCGAUCAUUAAUCCUAGGUCUAGACUCCUAGGACUGACUAUCUAAGAAUCUCGACUCGGGAGAAUUCUACCGAAAAUCCGGCAGAACCUCCCCUACAACACGAACAUUACCCCCCGUAAAAACGGGUCCAGGACCUGCCAGAAGAACACUUCAAAUAUCCAACAAUUUAAACAACGGGAGUCGGGUCCCCAAACUUCACUAUUUCUCGACUCCGCCACACAGCACAAAAUACGAGGCACACAAACUGACAGACAAUUAUUUAUGACUCACAAAUAUCAUCAAAUACUCAAUAUAACCCAAUAAACACAAAUUUAAAAUCAAAGGAUUUCUAAGAUUAACGGCCAGAGAAAAUUACCGAGACGCUCGGUCGACUCGCCUCCGGCCGCCGGGGUCCGAUCGACGAUCUGGACACAUCAUCGGACUCACAACGACGCGCUGACGACGAUCCCCGCUUCCGAUUUUUCGAUCUAACACCCGAUCAUCCGGAGAAAUUUGCGGACGAUCUCGGCCGUCGAUUUGCAAACGGAGCCCGAUCGCCACCAAACCGGUGCCAUCGCGAAGCUUGAGCUGAGGAGAGUCGGGAUACGUCCUCCGAUCGUCCAUCCUCUACCGGAUCUCGCCGGAAAAAUCUAAAAACGCCGGCUGCCACCAUUUUCUCUCUCCACUGGAUCUUCCGUCUCCGGCCACCACAGGCAUCGCCGCUGCUGCCAAAAGAAAGCUCUCGCUGAGAGGAGCCGAUCGCCACCCGACUCGUCCGCCAACAACGCUGAAAACGGUCGGAAACACGCCUGGAAGCCGCUGCCUUCGCGCUCUUCCGCCGCUCCCCGCCGCCGCUAGAGCCGCUGUUGCUGCCGCCGCUGCGCUCGCCAGCGCAUGCCGCUCCGUCGGCCAGCGCUCCGCGCCCCCGGCGGUCGCCACCGACGCCUGCAGCGUCCCCCUUUCUCUCUCUUCCGACGCGCCACUCUCUCUCUCUCUCUUCCUCUCUUCUUCCCCGAUUUUCUUUCCUUUCAAUAUCGACAUUAGGCCCCCGAACUUUUCCUUAUUACAAUUUAGUCCCUCAACUUUCUUAAUUACUUACAAUUUCAUCCUGCAGAAUUCCAAUUUAACCCCCAAACUUCUUUUUAGCCUUUCAAUUAAGCCCUUAACUAAUUAAUUUGGGCCAAAUCCGAAUUAUUGAAAAUACACAAUUACAAAAAUACCCCUGACCGACAUAUUUAUUUACAAAAAUACCAAGCUCACAAAUUUCCAUUAAAACCCCAUAAAAAUAACAUUAUACUUUCAAUCCUUAUUCCAAAAUAUAAUUUUACUUAUAUAAAUAUGCAUUUAGGAAAAUUUUGAAUAACCAAAAUAUAAUCAUUUCUCAAAUAAUUUACUUGAAUAAUUUCUUAAAAUUUCAAACUAAUUGGGUAUAGAAAAUAACUCAUUUAUUAAAUAUAUAAAAAUUCGGGGUAUUACAGAGCAGGCCAUAUUAAGUUCAACAUAUCUCACGUUAUACUUAACCAAAAAUUAUGAAAUUUUGCAUACAUAUACUAGAUAUAUAAAUGAACAACUUUUAUGUUUAACUCUCUGCUUGGUUCAGCCUCUAAAUGUCUCAAAAUGUCAGCACAAAAAUCAAGUCACCUGCUGAACCAUAAACAGAGCAGCAGUAAAUCGAACCUCGUAAGUUCCUACUCACUCAACGAUCUGCAAAACCAUUUUACAGAGAUAUUCUUGAAACAUAUACCUACAACUUUCAUGUUUGGAAAUUUUCGAGAUAAUGCCUCUAAGGUCACGAAAUCAGAGGUGAAAAAUCUGCCCAGAAAUUUCAGCUUCAAGAUCACAAGUAAUAGCAGGUUCACUCUUGAUUAAACAAUUUUAAAAUAUAUAAUCAUCAACAAUUUCAUAUCAUUAAUCCUAAUUUACAGCAAAAUCAAGCAAUUAAAAUUACUCACAUUUGUUUCCCUUGAUUAAGAAAACCCAAAUCUUUCAAACUUAAAAGAAGAAUUAAAUUUUCACUUACUAAAAGUUUGUAGAGUUUGAUUUGGAAAAUCAAGGUUGAAGAAGAAAAGGAGAAGAAUGAGAGAGACAAAGAAGAAGAGGAAAUAGGAAAGCAUGCGUAGAAAUGAACAAAUGAAAGAGGUGGUAUAUUGGUGUAAAAAUAAGCAAUUUUACAAUUUAAUCCUCUUUCUUUCUAACUUUCCAAUUUAGUCCAAAAUCAUUACUUUUCAAUUAAUCAGUAUGUAACUAAAUAAUUUAUUUAUCUGCCACAUAAUAUAAUAAAAUAGAUCAUACAUAAUCAUGAUGCAAAUGACAUGUUUAAUGACAUGCUAAUGAAUAUUAAUUAUUAAUAAAAAAGAAAUAAAUAAAUUUGGUUGUGACAUUACAUACCAGGGAGUGAUCAGCGGUAGCCUUGUAACCGGGAGGAGGAGUCAUGUAGACUUCUUCUUCUAGAGAACCUUGAAGAAAUCUAUUUUUGACGUCCAUUUGGAAUAGGCUCCAUCCUGAAUUAGUGGCAAUAGAUAACAAAAUACGGACUGUACUCAUUUUUGCUACAAGAGCAAAGGUUUCCUGGUAGUCGACCCCAUAGGUUUGGGUGAAACCUUUUGCCACUAACCUAGCCUUAAAUCUCCCUAUGGUUCCAUCAUGCUUAUAUUUUACUUUAUACACCUACUUACAUCCUACGGGUUUUUUAUUAGGUGGCAAGACAGUAAGAUCCCAGGUGUCAUUUCGUUCUAAGGCUUGAAGUUCCUCCUCCAUAGCCUUACACCAAUGGGAGUUGGUGUUAACUUCAUUAAAGGAGGUAGGUUCGAUAUGCUUAAUGAUACUUCCUAGAUGAGUUUUAUACUGAUUUGAUAUGGUCUUAUAAGUAAUAAAAUUUUGGAUAGGAUAUGAUACCUCAUGGGACACAUAGUCCCUUAACCUGAUAGGAGGUCUGAUAGGUCGAGCCGGGUCGAAUCGAACCUGGUCGGGUUGAGUCAAGGUGGGCUGGGCUAAAUUGCUCAGUAUGGGCCAACUGGCUGGGCUGAAGUCCGUGGGCUCGGGUUGCUUAAGCUUACCCGCUCCAAGCCAUGGACCCGAUCCGCCCAGUUGGCUUCCCACGUCACCCCGAACCCUUUCUUCAUAUUUUUCAUCAUUUCUAGGGUUUGUCUGGCAGACGCCCCCAAAUCGCUUUUCUCUUCUUUCUCUUCUUCCUCCGCCCUUGUUUCGAUUGUUCACGUAACUCCCUCGAUCUCCUCGGCCAUGAGACGGGCGUAGGUUCGGGUGAAGGUGCCAGCACUUGUCGUGGGUGUGACCCUGCCUUCGGCAGUGGUCGCACCUUUCGAUUGGAGCAGGCGCUCCCUGUAUGCGCUGCGUGCCCAUUUGGUUCGAGUGUCGAGUAAGAAAGGCCCGAUUUUCUGAUCCUUCGGUAAAGUUGUUGUUCAUGGUAGCGCGUCGGGUCUCUUCCUGCUGGAUAAAGGCCAUGACCGCGUCGAUUUUUGGUAGGUUGUUUGACAGAAGGAUUUGCGAUCGCAAACCUUCGUAGCUGGAAUCUAAACCCCCCAGGUACGUAUAAACAAGGUCUUGUUCUUCCCUUUGCUGUAAUUCUUCGGGGUUGUUUGUUUGGGGUAAGUAACUCUGCAAUUCUUCCCAUCUUGUUAAGACUUCUGUUGCAUAUUCUAAUGAAUUUUUGGUUCCUUGUAUGAUUUGAGAGAGCUCUUGUUUGAGCCUGAAAAUAUGGGCAAAAUUAUUUUGGUGCCCGUAGAGAUCCUUCAUCUUUUCCCAAAUUGCUUGUGAUGAAUCCAUUAAAAUACAGAGUCGGAAAAUUUGUGUUUCCAUGGUGUUGGUGAUCAUUGACAUGACCAGAUGGUCAGUCGUUUGCCACUCCUCCAUUUUUUCCGAUUCUUCCUCUGUUGGAUCCUCUGGAUUUACUGGUCUUGGUUUCUUUUUACUUACAGUGAUGAAACCCAAUUUCUUUCUGCCGCUGAGACCGAUGUAAAUAGACUUUGACCACUCAAAAUAAUUUUGGCUACCUCUCAACACAAUAUUGGUGAUUUUUGUGGUGUCAUUAUGAGCCAUUUUGAAUGCUUGAUUCUGUGUUUAAGAGGGGGUAGAUGAUGAUAGGUUAAACCUGCUCUGAUACCAUGUGAAAUAUAUUUGUACAAUGAUGAUCUCUUUACAGUAUAUGAAUUCUGAGUAUUAUAAUGUGAGUAUGCUCUGUUAUAUACAUGGUUGAGUUUUGUAACGGUCCUUAAGCUACUAGUUUAGCUCCUAUGUCUAUGUCAACGUUCAUUUUUCUGAUCUUGGAUGGGUUGCUUUCUUUUUCCUUUCUGUCAGGCCUGUGAUGAGUUGUCUGUACAGCUCUCAGCUGUACAGACCUGAGGCCAUGUUGCUAGUCUCUUUAUCCUUUGGUUCUUGUUUAUUUGACUGGGUAACUCUUUCUUUUGUUGGUCUUUAACAACGGCAAUUGUUAAGAUAGACAUAAAAAAACGUAAUUGACAAAUUAAAAUAAAAUCAUCAAGAAAUACAUUCAUGAGUAACACAGGCGUUGUCCUGCAACUGCAAGCUCCACUAAUGAUUCUCAGUCACUGUAAUUGUAUGAGGUAUGCGAUUAGGCAAUCCAACGUCAUCAUUAGUUUUCAUUUUUCUACUUCGCUCUUUUACCAGGAUUAGGGGAUUCUUUGGCAUUGAAGAGCAACAGUGGAUCAUUAGAGGGAUUGAAUUGGGUUGAAAGAAAAUCAGGUGUCAUGGGGAAUGGAUUAUGUGUAAGUGUAAGGAUGGCCAAGAAAUAAAUAUACGAAAACCGGUUGAAAUAAAUUGAUUGAAAAACCGACAGGAACUAAACCAAACCAGACCACAAAAUCAACUAACCAAACUAGUAAUUUCAGUUCCAGCUGUCUUACAAAAAGUUCUCGGAUUUUGGUCUGGUUUCAGCUUUUGAUUUGAAAAACCUGUCUGUUCAGUUAACAAAUAGAAUUAAUCUUUUAUUUUUAGCUUAUCUUAAAAACAAAAAAAAGAACAACUUAUUAUUUAGAUUGUUCACCUCAACCAAUUCACAGUUGGUUGAUAAUUUUUAUCUAAUUUCUUUAUUUUUAUUUUCAGUUAAAAAAAAUGAUGGCUAAUUAACUAAUUUUUUAUUAAUUAAGUCGACAGUAUUUUAGUUUUUGGUUUUUAAACCAAAUCUGACCAUCGAUUUCUUUGGCUACCACGAUUUGGUUAAUUAAGGGAUAGUCAACAAUUUAUUUUUUUUAAAUGACGGAAUUAUACAUUUUAAAAUUAGGUAUACAUAAAGAAACAAAUAUGGCAAAAGUUGUGAAUAAAUGGAUCUUUAGUCUAUUUUUUUAGUAUUAAUUUGCUGCCUGCUUUUGAUUUCAUAAGAGAUAUAAAAAGAAAAAAUAAUUUCAGAUGCAUUGAUUUGCCUACAAGCAAAAUAUUUGUAGCAUAAAUAUAAUUAAAAAUGGAUAAAAAAGAAUUAACAAGUCAAAUCUUAAAUUACAGUGAUAUCGUCCACUAGAUAUUACAGGUUUCCCCGACUAUUACACCCAGCAUGCAUUUGUAUUUGUUACUUAUAUUGCAGCUUAGCUUGGAGGUGGAAGCAACCAUUUACAACCCUGGAUGUAUCCAAGAGAUAUGAAACUUUUGGCUUCCGAAUCGCUCAGCUGCUUGCUGAAUUUUGCACGUCCACUGGGAUUUGCUCCGGGUCCUGAACACUUGUAUUCUGCGAAGAAAAUGUUCCUGCAAUUUCACAUAAAUUUAUACUCAUGAGUACUUUAGUUUCCCUAUCACUAAAUUUACUUCUUUCCAAUUUUUUAGCUGGAGAUGAACUAAAUGAUAAAACUUGUACUUACUUUUCUCGUUCAGGGUGGUUAUAGUUGGACCAGCCAGCAGGAAUGACAACGUUACUCAUUUUAGAAUAAGAAAAUACCACUUCAGGCAUUUCCAUCCAUGCUCUUCCCAAGUAUGCAUCAGUUGCAUCUCCAGCUAUAUUGCUGUGUACAAAUGAGAAUCCUGAAUCUUCCGAACUGGUAUGCUUUGCUUGUGCUGUUAUCACCGUCAUAAACUUUUCUUUAAUUACAUUGAGAUUUGUUUUCUGCAUUUCAGGAAAUAUUGGAAUUAUUUAAAAAGUCUUUGUAUAUUAAUAGAGAAAGGAGAAGAAGUUGCAGACUGUAUAUAUCUGUUUACCAGAUAAAGGGAUUUUCCACUUCCGAAAAUAAAGUCAACAGUUCCUUCAAUGUAACAGUCCUUAAAGAAAUGACGGCCCUUGUCAUCACAUACUGUAUCUUGGAAUCCAAGAAUUCUGCAGUUAUAGAAAGCUGUCUUGUCACCAGCGACUCUCAAAGCCACUGCCUGAGCUCCUGCUCUCCCAUCUGGCCUUGGUGCAGUGUUCUAACCCAAAAUAUCAGGAAAAGGAAAGCUUGAGAAAAUGUCAAGCUAAGGAAACUUAAAAGAAUUCUGUAAGGUCAUGGCCCAAGUAACCCGAAUAAUAAUAAACAAAUAAAUAAAUAAAAUGAUACAAAUAUAUACCUUAAUGAUGAUAUUGGCAGCAACGAAGUAAUCAGCUUCCACUGUCAAAGUGGCACUAUAGACAGUUCCAUACUUCUUGGCCGUACCAUCGAAUUGCAAAGUUGGCAUAGGAUUGGAAGAUCCAAGUAAUGUGACAAAAGGUUUGAUCCUAUCAAUUAUUACUUUCUCUGUGUACACUCCAGCGCCAAUAUCCACAAUCACACGAUGUUCAUUUCCUGAUGGAAUACUUUUAAGAGCAUCUGUCACGCUCUUGAAAUCUCCACUCCCAUCUAAUCUCACCUUAAUUCUUUUAGGUGCAGUCUCUGCAGCUUCAAGUGCUGGGUCUAAGGUGCCUUUACGACUUGAAAAGGGCUUAACAUUAGCUUGGAACCAGCUAUUUAUUUGGUCUUCAGCUGCUGGAAUUGGUGUUGCAUCAUCAGAGAUAACGGUUGUAGCAGCAAGAAGAGUGGCAGCGAUGACAUAAUGAAUAGCGCCUAUGUAAGUUAUUUGUUUAGCCAUUUUGUAAUUGUUUUUCUUCUGUUUCUUUCUUUGAAAUUGGAUUGCAAUAUUUAAAGCCAUUUGGAACUCUAAAAAAAGUGGGACUGAGAGGAUUUUGCGCGUUUUCUUGUCUUUCUCUAAUGAUAUGUGGUUUGUUGCUUAUAUUAUUUGACUUAAAGUUUUGUUGUUCUAUAUGUGGAUGUGGGCUUCAAUCAAUUUUGAUGUUGUUAUUUUUAGGUUGUUCUUCGAUGAUCUCCAAUCGUUAACGAAAAACUCUGGAAAUUGACGUACUAAAUUGACCAAAGAAGUAUAAUUUUAGCCAUGCACAUACGAGAUCAUUUUCUGAGUACAGAAAUGUAGAUAUCAUUUCUUUCAAGAUAAUAGCAGUAAUUAUUCAAGUACUUAAUUGUUCAUUUAUUAAGUUGUCGUAUCUAGUAUCGCUACAUAUCAGUUUCUCAACACCAAACCAAAAUAAUAAAUUAUGAACCCUAUUCACAAGAUAGGAUUAUAAUAAUAUUUUCGUAUACCAAUUCACAUGACAUGAAUAUGGUUUUUCGUAAAAGAUCAGUUCAAAUAUCCAACUUCUGCUGUCAUCUACAUGCAGAUUUUGCACACUUAGUGCAUGGUGCACAACAAAUAGCAUUAAUAGAAAAAGAGAAGGAUGCGUAUAGUAGGAAGUUGCAUAAUUUAAUUAAUAUAUUCCCAGUGUAGUUAAAUACAUACAAAUUCCUUCCUUUCUAUGCUAUUUGUGUACAUUUUAAAUAUCCAUUAUAUUAUAAUCUCACCAACAAUCAUAUUUAUCUCCACGAAUCCCUACAUGCUACAUGAUUGUUCAACAUUCCAUAUGUUGUCUCAUUGGCAGGAGGUGAGUUCUUGAAACUCUUCCAUUGACGAAGAACGGCAGUUAGAUCAGCAAUCUUGGCACUUAUAGUCCGGCAACAAUUGGCAUGAACAGUAGUAACAGCUCUAAUGUCCCCGCUAUCUUGGCAAAAACCGCUAAAAUAGAGGGUGUCCAAGAACCUCACUCUAAGUCCUAGAUUUCUAAACACACCUUGACGCAUCAUGCUAUCUAAAACAUCUUGCUCUUUCUGCCCAACUGACCUGUCUUUCCUUGCAUACCAUGAGUCAAAUAAUUCAAUUGUCUUGUUGUUUGACCUUAUCAUGUAAAAUCCUGUGUUUAUUGGGUUGGCUUCAGACCACUCAUCGCGGUUGAACUUAUCGGUACUGAUCUGAAAAUCUACGCUUCCAUCUAGGACUAGCUUUGGAAACGGGUUCCUUAGCCACAUUACAUCUGUGUCCUGCCAUUUGAAUGAAUAACCCACGUUACAUCAGGAUCCUGAUAUUUAGUUGAAUUAUAAAAUGAUGUUUCCAAGCAUAAGAAGUUUAUAUAGUGCAUCUACUAACGGGUAAAUUACACUCGUGCUCACUUAGAAUUGGGUAAUUAAGUUUCAAGUUAUCUAACUAUAAUUUUAAUUUAGUCAAGUUUAAUGAUCCUAAACAAAAUUGUCUAUCAUAUCAUGUGUGGCCUGAUUGGCCUCCGGAAACGAGAUAUCAAACGACUCAAACAUCUAGAAAGAAAAACGUACCGUGAAGAUAAAAUUAUAGCCUCGCUUAAGUAUAUCUCCAAGCAACAGGGUUCUCCUCCACAUCAUCUUGAUAAAAUCAUCAGACAUGUAAACUUUCUCACCAUCAAAAGCCACACCAUCAGUUUCGAGUUUGUAACAAUGAAGCCGGAGAAACUUGCACCGUUCGUAAGCCGUUUGGUCAACAGCAACUAGCAGGAGGUGAUUGAUCAAAUCUCUCGUAUCUUCUCCGAGCCAGAAGCUGUCCAAGAACAUAUCUAACAUUGGCUUAUCACCCUCUACAUAGGCCUUAUUCACCAUUGCAAUUAUCAGAGUCUUGUUCGCUGUUGAUGCCUCGGCCAAACCUGAUUCAAGGGCAUCUCUGUGGCUAGUAACAGGGCUAGUGGUAGUCAUAUUGCUCUAUAAUUUAGAUUGCAAUAUAUUAAUAGGCAAGAAAAUACAUAAAAAUACUAUAAUCAAGGAAAAGAGAAAAAAAAAAAAAGCAAAGAAAAUAUGCUUACAAUGGUUGAGGAUUGGCAAUUACAGCGAGAACCUUGGAAGGAAAAGAAUGGCUUGGAUCUGGCACCUACGGGGUUGGAGACGAGCAGUACAUAGGCUGAACCAAUGAAUAAAAAACCCAAGAUACCAGCAAUGUAUUUGCUGCUAUAAUCUUUUUGGAUUUGCAUGUCCUUAACAGGCAUAUCCAUGUUUCUGAUCAGGAAGAAGGAGAACUGAAUGGAUGAGAUAGAUGAGCAGUAAUGCAGAAGUAUGAGAGGAUUUUAUUAGCAGCGGUGAUUAAUUAAUAAUGCACUAGGAGACUGGAUGUUUGUAUUGAUUUGCAAGUGUAAUCGGUUUAGGAUACUUCAGAGUUCAGAUAACACGCAUACAUUCUGAAUUAACCUAGCCAACCACAGUAAAAUUAACAAUGUUAUUAUGUAAUUCUAGUGGCUGCCCCACUACAUGCCUAAUACUUUUUUCUUAUUACAAUUACAGUUAAAAGAUACAUUUAUAAAACAAUUACAAUACGAGUACGUAUACACUUGAGUAACAGGUGUACAGUUGACUAACUGAAGCGAUAAUUAGCUAAUUAAAGACCAAAUAAAUGAGCUAUAACUAGUCAACUAUGUAACAUCCCCUCCAGCUCGUGAGAAAUCCAACAGAACUAACUUGGAAUCGAGCAAGUCUGGACUCCUGACUAUAUGAUAAUCAAUUCUCGUUAUUAUAUGAAAUGUGAAAUGUGAAAUGCAGCUUCAUUGUCACAGUAAAAGCAAGAGGGGUACGAAAAUUUGCAAAGCAUUGAAGCUUAUACACAGUAGAUGUUAUACUCAAGCAGAACACCCUGAUCACAGUAAAAAAAGAAAAGGUUAAGCAUGAAAAGAAGAGUAUUUAUACAUGGCCUUCUACACAUGAAUGAGAGCUGUACAGUUGACUUUUUGAAGCCAUGUUGGGUAAGUAAAAACUAAGCAAAGACCCCAACUUGAGUGGCGGGAGGGUAUUGCCCUUCACUUCUUGGGGUAUAGGGUUUGAAAUUGAUAAUUUAUAACUUCCUCGUGAACGAAGAUCAUAAAUUUCUUAGGUUUAAUUUUAGUAUUUUUUAUUUGAUAAUUUAUAAAUAUAAGUUAAUAUAAAACUUACACCAAAUCUUUUUGGAUGUAAAUUACAAAUUUAUUCUAAAAUAAUGAAAUUAUACGCAAAUAACGUUGAUAGCCAGUUUAUAAUUAUAAAGCUGGUUACAUUGUUAAUAGUUGUAUUAUUUACAUAGAUAGUUAGCUGGCUCAUUUAUUUAGUCUUGACUUAGAUCUUUUUUAAACCGUUGAUAUAAUCAUAUUAGUUUCAGCGUUAGAUUAAGAAAAAGNNNUUAGAUUUAAGAAAAAGAUGAAGGUGCGAUUCAAUUUCAAACCCUAUACCCCAAGAAGUGAAGGGCAAUACCCUCCCGCCACUCAAGUUGGGGUCUUUGCUUAGUUUUUAAUUUAGCCGAGUGAAUUCCUCUAAAAUUCACAUGAAUAUAGAAAUUCUUUUUUAUAGUCAUGCAUUUAGGAUCAAAUUUUAUAGAGAUUAUAGCUUAAUUUAAGUUCGAUUACUAAAAUCUUUCUUUACAUUUAAUACUUAAUGUUAGUGAGAUGAUAAAAACUAUAAAUAAGAUACGUUAAUGUUUUGUUAUAUUAUAUAAAUAAAAUUGAUGAAACAAAACAGUACUAUAAUAAGAUAAAACAUAAUGUAAUAUACAUUCUUAAAAAUUAUAUAUACAAAUAUUAUUGUAUAUAAAAAUAUUUGGAGUUAAGAAAACAUAUAACUUAUCAUAAGUAUUUUUAUUUAUAACUAACUUAAUAUAAAUUUUUUUAUCAUUGUAUAUAAGUCAUUUCAAUAUAAAAUAUUAUUAUAGAAAAGUUUUUACUGUAUUAUACUAUAAAUAGUUAUAGAUCUUCACAUACAAGUGACAUUUGAUUUAAUUAGUUAAAUGUAAAUGUUUUAAUUAUAAGAAAAGGAAAGUAAUUGGGCCCUUGAUACUGGAGCUGAGGUGGAGUGGGAAAAAAGACUGAUUAAAAUACAGAACACGAUAAUGAAUUCUCGAUAUGCUGUCGGCCCCUAAUUGCGAAAGCUAACACUUUGGUACAUUAUAAUAACAUUAACUUUUUAAGUUUUUAUUAAUUUUUUUUGAUACAAGAUCUAAUAAUGCCUUAUACAAUAGUACAUUUAUUAUUUUUAAAUAGUUAAAUUUAAAUUUUAAACUUUAUUAAAUACAUUAUCAGUAAAUUAAUAAAAUAAAUAUGUUUUAAAUUUUUAUAAUUUAAUUGAAGUUUAAAAAUGUAAUAUUAUUUUAUUUUUAAAAAUUUAAAUUAGAUGUAUAUAACCAUUGGAUAUAAAUUUAAAAAAUUAUUUACUAAAAGAUUAAGAAUAGAUAUAUUUAAUAGUUAAAUAUAAAUUUAAGAUAUUAUUUAUUAAAAAAAAUUAAAAUUAAAUACAUUGAUCCAUUUAAUAUAAAUUAAUGGUACAAAUCGACCCCUUGUCCGUUAAAAAUCGUAUUUGAUAUGGUGCCAUUGCCUGCCCAGUACCAAAAUCUCUCUCUCUUGGCAUGAGAAAAAAAGUUGCAGGAAAUGACGAGGAAUAAAAGCCAUAAAUAUUACAGCGAAAGUUCAGUUCACAUGCAAUUAUGCAUAACAAAAAUAAUUGAAGAGAUAUUAACAAUUUAAACAAUAUUUUUAUUUAGAAAGAGAAACAGGUGGUAGGGAUGCCAAUAAGUCAAGUCGUGUCUUAAAAGGACGGAGCUACUUUCUCUUCUCUCAUUGGUCACUUCUCCUAAUCCUCUCUCAAAGUCGAUGAUUACAUAACCACUGUUUCUCUCAAAAGCUUUACCUUCUUUUUUACUUUUUCUUUCCCACUAAAUAUCUACUUUCUUUUUUUAUUUUUUUUUAUCUCGUUUCUAAUUGUUAGUUCGAUAACUAAUAGUAAAUAUAUUAACAUAUAAAAAAAUUUAAGAUUUAUAAAUUUUUACUAUAUUUUAAAUUUCAAUAAAUAUUUGAUAUUAUAUAUAAAUAUUUAAAAUUAAUUUAGAAUGUGCCAAAUAUUACUUUUAUAGGUGUUAAAAUAAUAUUUCUUAAGAGUUUUAACACACUUACAUAUUUAAAAUUUAAAUUUAAAAUUUUAAUUAAAUUUACAAUCUCAUUUUUACACUAUUAAAUAUAUAUUAAAUUUUUUAUAUAAAAGUCUACAACAUAAAAUUAUUUAAUAAUAAAUAAGUUAAUAAAUUUAAUAAAAAUUAGUAUAAAUAUAACAAUAAAUAAACAUCCGUAUAUACAAGUAGAAAUAUGAUAUUAUUUUUUAUGAUGAAGAGCAUUAUUUAAUUUUCUUUUUUUAUAUCCCAUUGGUCAGGAAUCAUAUUUUUCCUCAAAAUUUGAUUGAUCAAAACGCUGAUACGAAGCUAGAUUAUGAAAUAAAAACUAGAAAUUGAAUUGAAAUUAACUUAUCUUUUAUUAAUGCCAUAACUCUCUGAUAGACUCGUAAACGGCAGUUUACAGUUUUCACAGGGGACAAAACAUAUCCUUACAAAUAAAAGGAUGAUAGCGAUUAGUGGAUAAUAGAUAAAUCACAUUAUAAAUAUAAAAUUAAUUAAUAAAAACAAUCGAAAGUCAAAGUCCGUCGUCUCGUCUUUCUUUCCCCUCCUCUCUUCUCUUCUUCUUCCUCGACAUUUCUCUUUCUUUUCCUUUCUCACCUAACCAUAACUUUAAACCAAUUCUCCUUAGCUAAGCUUUUGCACCUUGAUCCCAUUAAUACCAUUUAUCUAUUUUCUUUUUCUUCAACGCUAAUUGCGUUUUAUUCUCUCUUUCCAUCGCUGCCAUGUAUAUGCUUGUGGACUGUUCAAACUGCCGGACACCCUUACAGCUUCCACCGGGAGCCAAGUCCAUCCGCUGUGCAAUCUGUCACGCGAUCACUCUCGUCGCCGACCCACGCUCUGGCCCACCACCACCGCAUCACUCUUCGUCCGGUCAACACCACUACCCACCCCCGCUUCGCUCCCCAGCUAUUUCUCCUUCUCCUUACAAUCACGCGCCUUCCCCCCCACCGCCUGCUUCACAUGGCGCCAAGCGUGCCGUGAUAUGCGGCAUCUCUUAUAAGAACACCAGGAAUGAGCUUAAGGGAUGUAUCAAUGAUGCUAAGUGCAUGAAGUACUUGUUGGUUAAUAAGUUCAAGUUCCCUGAAUCUUCUAUUCUCAUGCUCACUGGUAAUUUCUUCUUUUUUCUUUUUUAAUUUUCAUUCAAUUCUUUAGUUCUUAUGUUCAGGUUAUAUCGAAGGUUUGUUUGUUAUCAUCUAAUGCAGUUCUUUUCCAUAAAAUAUUGUUGAUACCAUUGCCAACUACGGUUUUUGUAUUAAUUAUCAAUUCUUUAGUUAUUGAAUUGCUAUUCCAUUCAAUUUAUGCGUACUCUUUUAAGGAAUGUUUGGAUUACUUAAAUCGUGUGCAAGAAUUUAAUUAAAUUGGCUUGAAUUCUUGCAACAUUUCUGGCAUGAUCUCAUUCGUUCCCAAAUGCCAACUAUUACCUUUUCAAACGUGAAAACAGACAUUGAACUGAAUUCUUGCAUUUUGGUUAAAUGAAUGUUAAGAUGUAAUUUGCAGUUCAAGAAUUAGAUUAAGCAAAAUAUGAUAUCAGAUUAAGGAUUGAGAGCAAUGAGCUGUGUGUUAUUACAUCUACUUCUGUUAGGAUUUUUCCUUAUUGGCCGACCAUAUUCUUCAUACUGAGCACUUAUUAUUUGCAGAAGAAGAAACCGAUCCAUAUAGGCGGCCAACGAAGAAUAAUAUGAGAAUGGCAUUGUACUGGCUAGUGCAGGGUUGUCGGCCUGGAGAUUCAUUGGUGUUUCACUUUUCUGGCCAUGGUUCACAGCAAAGGAAUUACUCAGGAGAUGAGGUGGAUGGAUAUGAUGAAACACUUUGUCCAACGGAUUUUGAAACUCAGGGAAUGAUUGUGGAUGAUGAGAUCAAUGCAACCAUUGUCAGGCCUCUUCCUCGCGGGGUUAAGCUUCAUGCAAUUAUAGAUGCUUGCCAUAGUGGUACUGUCUUGGAUUUACCUUAUCUCUGCAGAAUGGACAGGUUAGUCCUCUCUAUAUGGUGGAAGAGGUUGGUAAUUGAUACGAAGAACUAUAAGCAGAAAAUCUAUAUUUUAUUUUCUGUAAAAAAAAAGUCCCUCUCUUCUCUCGAGCUAAUGCCUAUCUAGCUAAGCACAAGAUAUCAAUUCUUUUCCAAUAUCAGAACCCUUAGAUGAUGCGUGGAAUUAAAAUGGUUAUUGCAACACAAUAGGGCAUGCUAGUAAUCAUAAGGUUAAUAUGUGAUAUAUGUAGGAUAAAAUAAUGCAAUGGACUUAGGAUAGAUCUAUGUUUAUAGCCUUUGCAAACCGAUACUAACUUUGACUAUGGACUUUACAUGAUCUUCUUGCCUGCUGUCAAUUCGAUGUUUUCCUAGCUUAUACCAUUUGGAUGUUUUCCCUAGCUUAUACACUCUUACUUUUUUACUAUAGGAAUGGGAGGUAUGGUUGGGAGGAUCAUCGCCCUCGAACAGGAGUAUCGAAAGGAACAAAUGGUGGGGAAGCAAUCUCCUUUAGUGGCUGUGACGAUAAUCAGACCUCUGCUGAUACUUCGGUAAAGUCAUUGGCAGAUAUACAUAAAAAACAUUGUAUUUCAACUAGGAGAUUACAGAAAUAUAAAACCAUACCUUGUUUUUUAUUUUGUCUACUUCUAAUGGGCUAAAAUAUAGUUGCAUUGCUAAAUGGUCAGGCUCUCUCCAGAGUUACUUCAACAGGGGCAAUGACUUAUUCUUUCAUUCAAGCCAUUGAGCGAGGACAUGCAACUACAUAUGGGAACAUGUUAAACGCAAUGCGCUCCACCAUUAAAAAUGUAGACCCUGCAGUUGAUGGUGGCAUUGUAACUUCUCUUCUCACCAUGCUCUUGACUGGAGGGAGCCUUAGUGGGGGGUUAAGACAGGUAUGCUUGUCAAUACUAUCUUGUUUUUCCUGCAUGCUGAUCACCACUGAAAGCCGUGGAGACAAUAAUCCUUGAUUGGAGAAACAAAAUGUUAAAACCAAUGAAAUUCAGUCACUUCAUAGAGACACUAUCGUUUCAUGCACUCUGGUUUUGUGUGGUGACAAGAGGUUCCAUUUUCUGGGUUUUUUAGUUAUGCAUCACAUAUAAUAUGCUUUCCUGGUUGUGCUCGAUGUCCCUUCUGUUUGUAAAAACUAAAAUUUUCCUUUCUAGAGUCUAUACAAUAUAAUGUGAAUAAAAAUGGUAAAGCCGCCCAGCGUCUUUUUUUAGAUCACUAAACUGUUUGGCAUGGUGUUCGGGCACAUCUGUAGAAUUAGUUUAUUGAUGAUGCAUAAAUUUGAUAAUUAAGAUAACCUGAGUUCACAUAUAUUGGGGAGUACUAAGUUUGAAAUUUGAACUUUCCUGCAGGUACCACAAUUGACUGCCAAUGAACCAUUCGAUGUGUAUUCAAAACCAUUUUCUUUGUGACAGGCAAAGAUAUUGUUCAAUCAUUUAGUUUCUUAUUAAAUUGAGGGUGCCAUGUACAGCUGUUGAACAAAACCUAUUUCAAUAUUUAAAGUUUUUCUUCAUUGAAUUGCAAAUGCACAAGUUCCUCCAGUUGGACAUAUACCAAGUACAGCAUCUCAUCGAUUAUGCACUUGUCAAACUGCUUCUUGAUCUUAUUUGUGAUGAUUGUUAUCUCUAUAGUAUUUUUCUUAUCUUCCUUCGAUGCAGGGUAAUUUUAGUUGUUACUGCUUUAUAAAAAGUCACGACUCUUGCUAUUGUUCUUAUUGUUACUUUGACUUUACAUAAUGCCUCAGUUAAUGCACAUGAAGUAUUCAUUAACUCAGAACAUUGACUUCCCAGUUUCAUUAUGUGGAUCAUAGACGCUUCCCCAACCCCAAAUAAACAUACAAACGAAAUUUCAAAUCAAAAUGCUAAUAAAAAUUCAGACUUGCUGAUUAAUGGUUCUGUGUGUGAUACACCCGCUAAAUUUAAUGGCAAAACAAUUUGCAUAAACUAAUUUCACAUUCCGACAAGCCACGAAUUCACCUUCUUUAUUGCUGUCCUCCGGUAUUACUUGUUCUCUACCUUGUCUUUUUUCUGAUACCUUGCAGCAGCGUACGUUGCCUUUUAUACCUUGCACUGUCCUUCAAGGCCAUGUCCAAUGAAGACCUACAUCAUAAUAUAGCAAUCAAAAACAGUAUUUCAAAAGGAUAAAACGCAAUGAAGUAUAUCUGUUAGUGCAUGUUCACCUUCUUCUCUUGGAGGGAGAGUUGGCCCCAUAUACGACCGAGAGACUUGCUUGCUUCCCCGAACGAAGAAUUCUUAACAGAAACCCAAUUUGACAUUACAAACAAAGCAUAGGAACUACAUGGUCUUGCAGGCAGACUAUGUCUUCUAAGUACAGUUUCUAAUAAAUUCCUGUUCCUUCCACAAUUCAAUUUUCUCUUUGAACUCUAACAAGACAUGGCAGAAAUGCGAGGAAAAUACUUCACUGGAGAAAUAGCCCCGCUUCUCAGCCUUGUCAAGAUAUCAACUCUUUUCGUUGUGUAAGAUUCACCAUUCUCCAGUCUCAUUAUUCUCAAUGGCUAAUUGGCCUGCUUCUGCUAGUGCAUUUUGAUCUUCCGCUUCCACUUCAUGAGUAUUAUUAGGAGUUAAAUAGAAAGAAGACGGAUUUGUACUCUCUAAAGUGAGAUUGUUUUCGAAAGAAUCCGCCCUCAUAAGGUUAAAGUGAUUACCAGGAACAUGCGUAUGAUUAUUCUUAUUGUGGAUAUUGAAUUGCACAGGGAAUUGUAAAGUGCCAGUGUCACCCUCUACUUGGAUAGCCAUUGAAGGAAAUGAGUAAAAACUUUGAACAAAGACGAUGGAUAAUAUAAAUGACAGAGAAAACGGCUUCGUGGGUUAUAAGUAAUAAUCCAAGAGAAUUGCAUCUUUUGGAAAAAUGAACACCAACAACUUCCGAACGGCAUGUCGUUCCAUGGCCAACAUGCAACAGCACAUCCUGUCUUGUUGCUCUUUUAAACUGGGCUCCACACUCUGCUACUCCUAACCACAAGAUAAGGCCUCACUCGACAAGACAAAACCCCAUUGUUUAAAGCUCUCAUCACCAACAAAGGUCUCACUUUUACUCUUUCUGUUCAUGGCUACCACACACCUUUCUUUCACUAUUCCUACACUUCCUAAACCAUGUCUUCCACGUUACCACCGCUACGGUUUCUCCGUUUUGACUGGGAAUAGAAUGGUUACCGUGAAAACUCGGGCUAUGGGAGGAGACUUGCUGGGUGAUUUUGGAGCUAGAGACCCAUUCCCUGCAGAAAUCGAAAGUAGGUUUGCAGAGAAAGUGUUAGGGAAUGUUGAUACUGAGCAUAAGAUUCUUAUACCUAAAGUCUCUGCUCUAUCUCUUGCUCAACAAGAGUGUACUCCUGUCUCUCCUCUCCAGGCUCCCAUGUCUAAAGAUGAUGCUCAGAUGCUUCUGAGAAAGGUUAGUUCUUAAUACUCUUGUGCAAUUCUUUUUCCCAGUACUUUUCUUUUGCUUCUAGUUUCAUGCUUGUUGAGGAACUGUAUAAUUGUAUUGGAUUUUAUUAUAUGUUGAAGUGAGGUCGGAGACCAUGUAUUUUCCAUGUUAAAUUAUGCUACUUUUACAAAAAAAAUUUGCACCAUGGUUCACAACAUCAAAGAAUUACUACCACAUUAGGUGAAUUAUACAAUCCAUUGAGCGUUACUCUGCUUAUGUGGUUUGAGCUUUUCAAAACUCAAAUCACAUUCCCCAUUACUUUGGUUGUGAAGAAAGAAAACCAUAGGAGCCAUAUGCCUUCGUUGCUUAUCCGGCAUCAGCAUGCACACCCAAAAACUAUAGAUAAAUGCAAUCAGUCCUUUAACAGAAAAUGGUUAGACAAUUGGCAGAAGCUUCUUCUAGUCUUAAUCGGCUAAUCUUGAUAUGGUUCUUCAUUUAUGGUAUCAAAGCAUUUCCUGCAUUAUGUUCGUUCUUCAUGUUCGGAGUUUUAGAUAUAGACAUCUUCAAACACCUCUUCUACUUAUUAUGUUUUAGAAACCAAAUUAUGGAUUCUUUGUUUCUGUAAUACAUAUAGAUUUAGAAGAUGGGAAUUGAAGAGGUUUAGUUUGCUCUUAAAAGCUGUAACAUUUUCUUCGAGAAGUUUAAAUCUGCAAUUUUAGAGUAGCCAAUCAAAAUGCUGCAUUUUUCCAUUCUUUAACAGAAUUACAUAUUAUCCGUACUUCUUAGAAUUAGUGCUGUGGAAAAGGCAUAUUUUCAGUAUCAACUUAUGUUUGCAUUUUGGAAUGACAAAUUUCAAGGUUUCUUGGUUGAGAUGAAGUGCCUAAUUUCAACAAUUUGCAUAUUUUGAUGAUCUGAUUUUCUCUCCUGUAGAUUAUAUAAAACACUUGUUCUUCACUACUAAUUUGUAACCUUGUGAUACUUGUGAUGUGAAAAGGUAUACUGCAAUUCACUAUUGCCGGAAACGUUCUCAACUCUAGGCAAUGAUAAGCUGUUGUGUCUACAUGAGAAUAUAUUGACAUAACUGAUGUUUUGCAUCAUAUUAGCAGUAGUUUGUGGACUUUCUUACAUAGUCAAAUUGCUGAGUCCUUUUCCUCUGCCAUCCUAAUCAACUAAAGAAAGCAGAUUCCUAGUCUCUUUUUUUCCCUUCUCUGGAUCUCUUUCAUGCUCCAAUGCUAUUUGUUUGUUUCAGUUUUAUUUGAAUGUGAAACAAGUGUUGAGUUAUCCUUUGUAUAUAUAUGAAUAAAAUUCUUAUCUUAAGGUCUUAUCUGACUCUUGAUUUUGAAAGAAUCAACAUACCAGAAUUAAUGCUAAAAAGAAUUUUAUUUGGUCUGCAGGUAGUUGGCUGGAGACUCCUGGAUGAAGAAGAUGGACUGAAGCUACAAUGCUUGUGGAAGUUGAGAGAUUUUAAAUGUGGGGUUGAACUUAUCAAUAGAAUUUACAAGGUUGCAGAGGCUUCUGGGAAUUUUCCAGAUCUGCACUUGGAACAGCGCAUUCAAGUUAGAGCAGAACUUUGGACUGAAUCCAUAGGUGAGUCUUCACUUCCGGUGCCUGCAUUCUGGCUCAAUUAACCAACCGUUUGUUUUCUUCUUUUUGCACUCCACGUGCUGUCAGUAUUCCUCAAAGAUUUUAUUUGAAAUGCAGGAGGGCUGAGCAUGAAUGAUUUCAUUGUAGCAGCCAAGAUAGAUGAGAUUAAGACAUCAGAUCUUGUCCCUAGAAAAAGGGUAUGGGCAUAGUUCAGACAUUGUUUUUUCUUCCUGAAGGAAACCGGGUUUUACAGCAGCCAAUGACAAGGAAAGCAAUAAUUUUGUUACAGUUCAUAAAACUCCCAUGUAUUCAUUCUUCUUUCAAGCCAUGUGCAUAUGUAUCUUAAUUUUGUAUGAUUGUUUUUGGAAAGAAUGUAAACUGAAUUCAAUACCUUCUGAUGUUAUUAUUAAUUCAAGCACUCCAGUUAGGAACAUAACAUCCAUGCAAGGUCUUGAUAUCAAAUUAACGAACGCAACUCUAGACCAGAUAGAUGAUUCUAACUAAUAAUGCCUUUGGGUCCCAGCACCACUCCUUAAAUCCCAAGUGUCAAAUAAAUCUGCCACUUUAUCUUGAAGUACUGCAAUUUGUUGUUGUUGUACUGCAAACCUAUUCAGCAAUUAGUACAUUAGUAGUACGCCAUUGUUCCCAUCUUUAUGCAGCUGAAAUCAAGCGCUGAAAUGUAACAAACAAACUACCUGCGUGGCAAAAUCAACGGCCUAAAAGUCCUAGUAUUUUUUUUUCUCUAUAUUUUAGUUAACGAAAAUUAUAUAAUAAACUACCAGCCAUUACAGGCUCAACAGGGUCAGUACUAUUUUCUCAUCUGCAUAAUUGUUUCAAUUUCAAGAGAGAAUGGUUGCAGUAGCUGCUGCGUCCACCUCGCUCACAUGCGCACUGUUUCCAAGCCAAGGUCCACCAUUUGCUCGCUUUUUCUUCUCUUUUCUCUCCUUAUGCAUUUCUUUUAAUCUAAUAGCAAGUAUUUUGUUGGAUGGCAGGUGGGUUUAGUGUAGCAACUCGUCGAUCACAAUGGACAGAGAAGGUUUGCUUAACCGACUAUGCUCUGCACUGAUUAUGUUUGAUAAAGUGCUUGUUCCAAAAAUUGGCAAAUAUUUUUGCAUAGGAAGGAUAAUUAAUUAAGACAACUAUUUUUAGUGCAGUAUGACAUUUUCUUUUUCCAUGAUGUUUGUAUGUAUGCUUCAGAGGAAAUGCACAAGAAAAACUACUCCUGCUAGAAUUACAGCGAUAUUUGAGCUUAAGCCUCCUCCAUAUCCCUUGGUAAUAUUUGUAUGAAAUAUGUAAUAAAGUUAGUUAUAAAAGGUCAAUAAUCACCAUAACGUUGUACUUGCUUUUGAUGUUUAUGUGGCAGGAUGCUUUGGAGCCACUAAUGAGCAAGGAUACACUGGAGUAUCAUUGGGGAAAGCAUCACAGGGCUUAUGUGGAUAACUUGAACAAACAAAUUGUUGGAACAGAACUAGAUGGAAUGUCAUUAGAAGAUGUUGUACUUGUUACUUACAACAAGGGUGAUAUGCUUCCAGCUUUUAACAAUGCUGCACAGGUAUGCCAUAUGUGCAAGAUUGCAUUUUUAUUGUGCUCUUGACAUUGUUUCUGUUUUGUAAUUUGAUUAGAUACAAAUAUGUAACUUAGAUUUUAAAGUUUCAAUAAAUUGUGAUGGCAAUUUGGAAAGCAUCUAAAAUUAUUAGGUACAAUUAUCACUAUACUGUUCAAAUAAGCAUCUGUCUCUUACCAGCGUAGCUUUUCUUUACUUCAUUUUCCAAGUUUUCUAUUCAUUCAUUCAUUCUUUUUCUUUCUUCUUUUGAAAUUUUGUGAACCUAAUUUCAGGCCUGGAACCAUGAAUUCUUCUGGGGAUGCAUGAAACCAGGGGGUGGAGGAAAGCCGUCAGGAGAACUCCUGCAAUUGAUUGAAAGAGACUUUGGUUCCUUUGAAAGAUUUGUGGAAGAGUUUAAGGCAGCUGCAGCUACCCAGUUUGGUUCUGGAUGGGCUUGGCUUGCAUGUAAGUGGUCUUUCCCCUAAAAAUAGCCGUUGCUUACUUUUUUUGUAAAAGUCACUAACUCGAUGACAUAUAUCAUUGAAUCUGAUAGGAGCGAUGCAUCUUUUUUUUUUUUUUUUUAAAUUAAUAUAGACAAAGCUAACAGGCUUGAUGUUGAGAAUGCAUUAAAUCCUUGUCCAUCAGAGGAGGACAAAAAGCUAGUAGUGGUGAAGAGUCCCAAUGCUGUAAUUCCCCUUGUUUGGGAUUACUAUGUAAGUAUUUAUGGCUCACUACAAUUACAUGCUUCAGGUUUCUUGUUCCAUUCACUUACAUGUUGGCUACAUGUAUCUGACCUUGUUGAUGAUUUCUUGCAGCCACUUCUUACUAUUGAUGUUUGGGAGGUAUUCCACAAUUUUUCUCUUUCUUUUUUGAGUACAUAUAAUUAUAUACUGCUAAGUGUAAAAGAAUCUGAAUAGAUUGAUCGCUCACUUGGUUUUGGAAUUUUUUUGUGUCUCAACAGCAUGCUUACUACCUUGACUUUCAGGUGAGACCCGUAUGAAAUUCAAAUUUCUGUUUGCAUUCUUAGUCUCUUUUGUCUACUGGUCUAAGAACCGACUUGUUCACCCUUCUUGCAGAAUCGGCGGCCUGAUUACAUAUCCACUUUUCUAGAAAAGCUUGUAUCAUGGGAAGCAGUCAGCGCAAGACUUGAAGCUGCUAAAGCUCAAGUUUCAGAGAGAGAACAAGAAGAAAGGAGGAAAAGCGAGGAAGAUGAGGACGUUACACCAAGCAGUGAUGCUGUAGAGAUGUAUCUGGAUAGUGAAAAUGAUGAAUCUGAGGCUGACUAACUUGGAAACUAAUUUAGGUUACAAUAAUGUGACAAAAGAUUUUGUGGCCUUUUUUCACAUCCAGCACUUUGUAUCUCUAUAGUAAGAGUAUCAUAGAGGUCAGUUGAACCGGCAGAGACUUGAAAUGUUGAUAUCAUUUCAAGAUUCUGUAUUCUGGAUAUCCUUUUGUGAACUGUAAAAUCUGAUGCUGUAUCAAUGAAAUAAAAAUAUUUUCUAUGCUGUUUGUAUCCAAAGUGUGAAGAGAUCUGAGAACCUGAGAUAUAACCAAAAGUGAUACAUCUAUACAAGUCCCAUGACCAAAAAGUUAGAACCUAAAGUUAACUGUCAACCUGAGAACAAUCUUGGUCCAUGUAUCAUCAAUAUUUUCUGGGUAAUGUAGUAAUAACACAGUUCGUGUUACCCGGAAGAGAGAAAAUUCUUUCGUGCUCUUGUAUAGAAUAAAUUACAAGCAGAGUACAAUUGCCCCAGCAGCCAUCAUCUUAUGGGGGACGUCUUGAGAGACAAGAGGCUUUCAAGACCUGAGAGCUUAGAGUUUUCAGCACAAGGUGGUCCAAAUAUGUCCCAAAAGCGAAGUGUUUGAUCUGCUCCAGCAGAUACAACAGUUAAUCCAUCAGGACUCUGUAACAAGGCAAUGAAAAGGAAACGAGGCUCAUAAAUUAUUAGCUGUAAGUAGAAAUGCCCGCUACUUUAACUUAAAGCCCUCCAGUUGUCAAACCUGAGAAAGACCAAGGAUUCUGUUGCUAUGACGUUGUAUCUCUCCUACUUUAGUCAGGGAAGGGUAUUUCCACAAGCAUAGGUGGUUUUGGAGCGGACCCAAACUAUAGCCAUGCCCGCUUAAUAUCUCCUUGUGAUGUCUGUUCCAUUCCAGAGCACAAAUCUGAACAAUUCAGCACAAAUUAGAGCAAAACAAAAUGCAUACAGAUACAAGGGUGUAUUCUCAUAAAAAAAUUUACUCUUGCUGCACGACAAGUUUACUGAUAACUCCUACAAAGUAACAUUUCAAGAAGGAACAUGCUUGCCUGUGAAUUGGUGUGUAUGCUAUGAAUACAUGAUCCCUUCCGUACAUUCCAUAUCUUAAUACAUCCAUCUUUUGUGCCACCUCCUGAAGCAAGUACAUUAAAUUGAUAGGGGCACCAAGCAAGUGCCUUGACUGCAGAGCGAUGGCCCUUAAAUUGGUGCAAGAAAUUAGAUGAGCUCAUUUUGGAAGCUUCCCAUAUGUGUAUAAGAUUUUCGUUUCCACCACUCGCCAAUAAGUUGCCUUCAGUUGACCAUUUCAAGCCACAGACUUCUUCUGUAUGAGCUAGAAUCCUGGAAGUACUGUUUCUCACUCUAACUGUCAAUGGAGGUAAACCAGCAAGAAAACAGAUUCAAAACAAUCUCUUUCUCUCAACAUGUAAUGAGAAUUAGCAAAAUAAAAGCAUAUUAGUAUAAUUUAAUUACCGUCACGAUUCAGGAUAGUUUUGUCUCGGCUUCCUGAUGUUAGAGUAUGACCAUUCCAUGCAAGGGUUGCUACCCUGUUCUUGUGACCAUCCAUUUGUCGAACCUGUGAGUUAAAAAUGGAUUUAAAAUGUCCCUCCAACUAAUUCAAAGCCUUCAGCAAGUUUUUGAAUUGAAAAGGCUCACAUAUAGCUUACACAUCUCAAAGCCUCAGUAUCCCAGAGCUGAAGUUUAGACUGCAUAUAUCCAACUGCUAAACUUCUGUUAUCCUCAGACCAGGAUAUGCUUGUUGGGUAGUCACUGUCGCUUUCAACUUCCAACAACUUUAAAGUGCUUUUGUUCUCCGCAUUCCAUAGGUAUAUUGCUUGGCCCAAUGCAACAGCAAUGACAUUAUUCUUACCCCAAUCUAUGAUGUUCACAUAGUAAUCAUCUAUUAUAUUUGGUGCAUCCAGAACCCUAGUUUCCCUCUGCGGACCCCUCAAAAACAGACACAAACAUUAAAUUGAAUAUGAAAUUUGAAUGACAAAACAGCAUGAUGAAAAAGGCGCCUACUCCAUAUGUAAUUAUUAUCAUUUACAGAUACAAGAUCAACAAGCUGAUACAAAUGAAUCCAACUAUCGUAGUGUCACUCUUAGUACCUUAAUUAUCAGUGUCAAAAACUACGCGGUAAAGUAGACUAAAAUCAUGAAGCUGAUUGUUCCUAACUGUUACACUAUUGUCGUCUCUAUAAUAUACCAAGAAGAAGAAAUUCAAGCCUAGAGAUAUAUAAUACAAGUAUUCAAACAAAUGACGCCUAGAAGCAAAAGAUAGAGUGGAGUACCUUAGUCAAGCGGCGGAGACAUUGAUAUUGCUUGGGACUAUUUCUCAGUGCUUCUGCAUCAUCUGUUCGCAUCUGAUCAAUAAGAUGAGUCCACUUCCUACUCAAUUUUGGACUUCCUCUAAAAACUAACAUCUUCAACGGUCUCCCUUCUGUGUCCAAAGUCAGAUUCUCCAUCAACAACUGUUGGUAUACUUCCUGCCCAAGAAGAUUUGAAAUAUGAACCAAACUACCCAAUACUAAGGCCCAGAACCCUAAUAAUUUAGCCAAUCCAAGAAUGAAUUUAACUAUAUAACAAAAUCCAAAUCUCGAAAACAAUAUCUCAGUAUAAAAGAUACGUACAUUGAAAAUAAGAUCGGGAACUUGUUUGCUUCUAUUUGUCAACAAACUGUGUGCUUGAUCAAGAUUCAUCAAACUCCUGUUUGGAAUAAACCUAUCACCCUUUGGCACACCCAAAAGCAGGAGAACAAGAAAACAACUACCGAAUCAGGAAACUUGAUAACAAGAAAUAAUAAACAAAAAACCAAGAAGAAAAAUGGGUUACUUUGAUUGAAAAGAAAGAAAGAAGUGUACUGGGAAAUCGUAUUUGGUGGGGCUAUCAUGAAGUCGCCUUGGAGAGUACCAAUCUGAUUGGAGUUGUUGUAUCUUCUUCUGGUUUUGCUCCAUUCUUUUCUAUUUUUCCUAGAAGUUAAAGACCGAAAACUACCAUCAACUUUUUUUCUUGAGUUUGCCUUCUCCUUUGCUUGGAGAAGGUUCUUGGUCUUUAACGUUAACAGAAUUCGUUAUACAAAUUGGAUUUUCUGAGUUCCUCCCGCCAAAAAGCCUAACCGUUGUCUUGUCGCUGCAAAAUUUAUAUAAUUGAUAUCUAGUGAUAUUAUCAUAAGUAGCCGUCUUAGCUCAGCUGGUAGAGCGCAUGGCUUUUAACCAUGUGGUCGUGGGUUCGAUUCCCACAGACGGCGGCAUCAAAUUGGCCUUUUAAAUUUCCUUAAAUAUUUUUUUUGGUCAAAAUACCUAAAAUAUAGUAUAUAUUAAUUUUCGAUUACGUUAGAUUUAACUUUUAAAUUGUAAAAUAUGUAUUAACUUUUAAAUCGUAAAAUAUGUAAAUAUUUGAUUUAUAACAAAAAAAAAAAAUCCCAUUAUAUAUUCUUUGAUAGACAUUUUUAAGAGAACUAAAUAUAAUAAUUUUGAAAUUACACCGACUCAGGAGUUAUAGUAGACCCCAUUUUAGUUAGAUUUUGAAAAUCUCUCUAAACUCUGAAUUUAGGUUUUUGGAUUAGGGGUUUUGUAAGAAUGUCGGUUCUGUGGGAGAAGAGCGAAACAUGGAGGUGGAUAGUGAGGAAAACAAGAGAUUCAAAGCCUUUCUUCAUUACCUUCGCUACAAUAUGCGGCGUAGUCCCUGGUGUUAUCGGCUAUUGCGUGAUGCAGCUCACUAACUCCAGCAAUCCAGAACUUGAGACCCGCCUCCGCCAAAACGCACGCCACGAAUCCUUGGUGAUGGCUAAAGUUAAUCAAGAACGCCUCGCAGAAUACCUUGGUGAAUUGAAGCGAAAGGAAGAUACCAAUGACCGCUAUAUUGCUGCUUUGAAAGGCCAGACAUUAACUAGAAACCCAUAUGUCAGAAUUCAACCAAUACCGAACCAGGCCGAUAAGGAACUGAAGAUUGAUGUAAAGGACAAAAAGUAGAUGGGUCUUACUGGUAUGCUACUAAUAAUUAUGCUCUGGGUAUUAUUAAAGUUCUUGUCUUUUCUUGGUUUUAUGUUACAGAGGUUCGUUUUUGCUUAUCAACAGAUGUAGGUAUCGGUCUACAUAUUGUGCUGCUCCCUAAUUAUGCUUUUGUUUAUGUUUAAUACUCUCAUGCUUUCCAUAAUGUGCCAUAUCUUGGUAGCUGAUGGAUGAUUGCAUCGAUAAGGAACAAUUUGGUACUAGAAUAAUAUACUGAAUACUGGUUUGGAUCCUCAUUUUGAAUACAAUGUUGAACAUUUGUAUUUGUUUUAACAAUUUCUUACAAUUUGAUUAUUCCUUAUACAAGAAGCAAACUGCUAAAAUGGAAAGAGUUCAGGUUUCAUUAUUAGUAGCUCUACACGAUCUCCUAAUCUCUCCUUGUUUAUCAGUAAGAACUCCAAUAGUACCCAAUUUAACCAUGGCAGCACCAAACCUUGUCGGGAAAUCAAAUUCACCAGCUAAAUUUCUGACAAUGGGCAUAGUCAAUGGAUCCAUUCCAAGCUCUUGAUCUAUUUGGAGAAUGCCUCUGUGCAUCAUUAUAUUCUGAUAGUAUGACACAUCCAUAAAGAAUGGACUGAAUGGAUUCUGAUCAAGGUUGACUGUGUUGUCUAUUGCAGGAAACUGAGGACAUCUAAAUCUCAAUAGAUUAACUAGGAAAGGAUCCAUGAGUGGAUCAGGAUUUCCACUGCCUUCAAAAUCGUAGAGACGGUCUUUGAUUAGGGAACAAUGAGUAACUCCAACUGAAUGAGCACCUAUACCACAAAUUGCAAAAAGGGUUCUUUCUAGAGUUAGUAAUUUGUCAAGUUCUGAACCAAAAUUAAAUUAGUAUGAACAGGGAAGUUCUUUUUGAGUACCUAGAAGAAGUACCAUGUCUGUGGUAUUGAGUCCUAUUUCAGCAAAAGCUGCAACAGCUUCAGGCACUGAAGCCUUAGGUCCUAGGAUACUCACAUUUUGACCCGCAGAAAUUAAACCAUCCCUUCUUCCUGUUUGAACAUUAUACCUUCCUCCACCACUCUGUAUUUUUAUGCGUAUUCAUUAGUCUUACAGUUGCAGUGUGAAGGUAUGUGACAGAGUUUUGGUUAUCUAGCAGCUAUUGCAAUGAGAGGGAAAGAAAGAGAUAGAUACCAAGAAAACAACAUCUCUUGUAGCAAUUGCAAUGAGAUCAGCACAAGAGACGACACCAGGGCAAGCUCUCUCCACCGCAGUUUUUGCUUGAUCUAUGAUAUCAUAUCCCCUAACGCUCAGAUUUGGUGGGGCUGUUUUUUCGCUACUACGUCCAUCUAAAAGUAGUGAUGCAUCACAUCCCUAUUCCAUCAUUAUUGCCACAGACAAUUAGUUGGUCAGUUCAAUAAAAUUCCACCAAGCAUCGCAGAAUUAAUAGUAAACUCAUGGGAAAUGAGAAUACAACUCUUAUUUAGUUAUUGUAAGUAAUGCCAUAGAAUGAGGUCAUGCGUAUUAACAACUGCUACCAACCUCUUAAAAAUUUAAUCAGAUUAGACAAAAUGCAUAAGCUUAAGACUUUGGGAAAAGUGCACACGAAGCUUGCUUACUACCAAAUCUUCCAUGCUUCUUGCUGCACAAAUCUUGAACGGAUUAUUCCAUGUUUAGUUAAUGGUUUACCUCUGAUUAAUUACCACUAACCUUGUAUGUUCUUAAUAAAAAGCAGACAGAAAUGCAAGCUUACAUUAACAAAGCAAUCAUGAAACUGCAAACGUAGGAGUGCAGCCACAAUAGUAGGAUCUUUAAAGAAUUGUGGAGUGACAACACCAGCAACUAUAGCCUCCACAUCCGCAAACCCACAUUUGCCACUAUAAAAUCCUACUUGCAGGGCACCAUUGCACAAGCCUGCCAAGUUUCCUAGAAAGAGCCCAAGAGCUAAUAUGAGAAGUGCUGCCUUGACUAUCAUUAUCAUCCUUAGGGUAAAGAUAAAAUGUUGGCAUCUCCUUCUCUCAUUUCAAAAGGAUCCAGAAGAAGUAAAAAAGAAAUUAGGAACGACCUUAGAUUCUCUCUGCCACCAAGAAGCUUGGACCAAAACUUGAAAACAAAUAAAAUAAAUUAAAAAAAACCGAGGAAAGACCUUAAAUUUUCUGUGCCAACAGUAAGGUUGUAAGAAAGCUCGACCAUGUACUUUUUGUUUGUGUUUCUUGACAUUGUCAGUUUAUAUAUAACAUGUUAAGAUACACAUUUCUUUGUAUUAUGCUAUAUUAUAUAUUGGUUUUACAGUGUGGUGCUCUUUGUACUCUACCAAAUUACCUCUUGCAUCUGCUCUAAGAGCUUAAUGGAUUCAUUUCACUUAUAAUUGAAUUUUUAAUACAAUUUAUUUAUUCAAAUAAUUAAAAGAGGAAAGAGAGAAAGGGAACAAAAUAUUUGAAUCAAAAGCAUUUUUCUCAUAAGAAAGAAAAAACUCAUAAUUACAAAAUUUAUUUAAAAUUUAAUCCAACUAGCUCCCUCAGUAUAAUGAGAUAAGGUUUUGUAAAUUUUCGCCGCUGGCAAAAUUGAAAACACCACUUCCAAAACAAAGUCAAGUCUACAACAACUCGUACUUGUUUGCAACUUUUGCAGUCAUUACUUGCAUGCAUGAUGUUGUUUACUUGGGCACGAAUUAUUAUUUUACUUGGUUAACUGUGGCCACAUAAUGUAACAAUCAAGAGAACUCCAACUAAGUGCGCAUUGCCUAGAACACUAUAAUACAUACAAUUUGCCUUCAGAAGGUGAAAUCUAGUCUACAUGAACUGGAGCAACCCAACACUUGCAUCAAUUCCCACUGCACAAAAUAAAAACGUAAUGCUUGUAUGAUCCUGAUGGAUUGGCAGGGAGGUUGAACAUGAUGAGCAGCAGCCUUGUCAUGACUAAAACGUAAUGCUUCAGCCAUUUUCUCUGGCCAACAAAAUCAUUUACUAUUCAAUUUACAUAUCAGAACCAGGCAAUGCGACCUGUCUAGUGCGUCAUAUUCCUCAAACAGGCAUUGAGAAGCCAUACUUGCUGUGUUCUAUUCACUUAACAGCAUCAGCAAACCGGUAUAGAUCAGAAGCUGAGCUCUGAUUAGCAGCACCAGCAGGCGAAGAAUUUGGAAGACCCGCAAAGCCUUCUAUUGAUGGGCCAAACAACCCAGAUCCAGAUUGAUGAACCAAACUCUGUCCCCUCGUUCCAUCAAUGAUGGAGGCAUCCCCAACACCAUGCCAUCCAAAUGCAGAAACAUUGCUUCCUGUUAUGUUCCCAGUUCUAUCAGCAAGCGUCUCCCUGUAAACCCCAGCAAAUGAACUGGUGGAUGGGACACCAUAUGCAGCUGAGUAGGAACCAGAUCCAUAAAGCAUAGACCCAGCGACAGGAGGAUUGCUGAUAAGACAAGAGAAACCACCAUCCACCAUGUUUAUUCUUGUUGAAGCAUUGUAUGAGCCAUUGCCAUCCAAAUGACUAGGAACCCUUUGUUCAUGCAACCCAAAGCUUGGAGAAGAUAUCAGGGGUGAACCUGUAAAUCGAAGACGUUUCACUUCUUGACUCUUCAAGUUAAUUGAGAACUCAUUCUCAUCUGCUUUUCUUUUUGGUGCUACCUUGUCAUCUAUCUUUCUAUUAAGGUCGGCAAUUUCUUUCUCUAACUUGUCUAUCUUCUCUGUAACUUGCCAUCCAGGAAGAAGUUUCUUAGGAUCAAGCUUGCGACCUUCAAGAAAUUUCAUAGCAGAUUUCAAAGUGGACAGAUGCUUCUGACUUGCUUCUUUCUGUGAGAAGACGCAGAAAAUUGUGUAUUAAUCAACAAAGGAGAAGAAUGUAUACUUGAUGAAAGUGGAAAGCAGCCAUACCAGCAAGACAGGUGAAUUAUUUGCUUCUCUUCUUCUCCUCUUCAAUGCUUCUUUAGAAUCUCGCAGGAAUGAGGUCAAAAGUUUCUGGGGAGGAAAUUUGUCCUCAAUCCCAAAAGUAUAAGCUACAUCAAUUGCUUCAAUUUUCAUUCCAUUGUUCAUCAUCCUCUCCAGGAUAUCUGGAACAGUCAAAGAAGUUAUACAUAGGGUCAAGCAAGGCACUGGCUGACGAUUAUAGAUGGAAUAUAGUGCCAGUAACAUGACUACUAGACUGAGAAGUAAAUAUUCACACUGCACCUUAAUCUAUAUAUUUCAUAGAUACUGCCCUAGCCAUUUAGAUCUGCUUAUCUAUGCAUGAUCCCAAACGAAACACCUACUAGAAUGUUGACCCCUAUCUUGACUGAAACAAUCCUAUUCUUGCAGACAACUCUCCAAAAACUGUGUAAAACAACCACACUCAAUCCCUAGUUGAUUUCUAGUUUUGAACUUCUAGAAUAGAACGUAUAAAGCAAGUUAAAUUGUUGAUACCUAUGUAAAUUUCCAUCAAACAAGGAAAUUCAGCAAACAAUGGCACACUUGUAGAAAAAAUAAUUAAGAAAAGGUGAUGGGAUUGAACCACAUCAGAGGUCUAGAAAGAUUGACUUUAGAAAAGGUUCAGGAUAGAAAGCAAUGAGCUUGAAUGCCAAAAGUACUUGGUACAAAAAAGAGUAAAAUGAAGACAAAGGAUGUGUAAGUAAGGUUCAAAACUGCAUAUAUAUAUGCCUAACAAACACUUCCAUAGCAUUAAAUUCAGAUAGUCAACAGGCACAUUGCUUUUUACAUGCGUGCUUGUGAAGCUUUACACAGGAAAUACUUACCAAGUCCUCUAACAGUCCAGACAGCAUUAAGAUGCAAAUACAACAUGAUGCUAAUCGUGUGUUGAAUUUGUUGUGGGUGUAAAACUAUUUCCAUAGACACUUUUUUAACAUUUAAACUAAAAAGCAGGCAUUAAGAGUGUUAGGAAAUACACUCAAGAGUUGGUGAAAGCAACCAGCAACAUAAGUUAAAUGUUUGACCCGUAUCUGUCCACACAAUAGAGAUCUAUUACUGUGUAGUCAUCAGAAGCCAUUAUAUUACUUUAGGAGCACAAUAUGUGGAGUAUGGAUACAACAAAACUAAUAAGUAUCCACCAAAAAUGCUCCAUGCUAAAUUUUGAGUAUGCAUGCUUAACCAGAAAAAAUGCAUAUAAUCACAGAAGAAAAAUGAAAAUGAGGUGAAACAGAAAAUGUGCAUAGUAGAAGUGUUUGCAUAGUAGAAGUGUUGGACAUGCGUUUACGACUUCUUAUCUAACUUGGAAAGUUAUUGGUCUUCCCUGGCAUCAAUUCCAGUCAUAUAUGCAAUAUGUACUCUCAACUUCUUGCCUCUUUUUAUAUGCAUCAUAUGCUUGUUUUCUCUUCCUCCCUUAAAAUGGUAUUGGUCCUCAUUUCACAUUCUCAGGCAAUGUUUUUUUGCUCAGGAUAUCCAAAAUCAAUAAAUUAUCAAAACCCAUAUUUUGGUAAAAGAAAAAAAAUAAAGAAAGAAAGAAAGGAGAUAAAAUCCCUAGAUUUUGUAAAAUUCUUCGUUCACCGGAAACGCUUAAAAGGAGGGAUUUUAUUUUAAUGAAGGAAGAACUGUUUCAAUUUUGUAUUUAUUCCAAUAUUGUUGAAAUCCAUUGAUUUGACGUACAUCCCGAACAAGAGAGAAUGACAAAUCCAUGAAAUUAAAAACUCAUAAUAACCUAGCUUUUACAAUACAUUGAUUUUGAAAAAUUCAUAACAUUCUAAAUAACUCAUUAUAGGAAUGAGUUUAGACAUGUAGCGUAGCCAUAUUCUAUAAUAGCAUUAAGUUCCGCAAUGCAGCAAUGCAAUGGCAACAAUGUGCUUAAAUGACAUGCAUGAAACAUACCUGAAACUUUAGUAACAAGAACGUGAGAUCUUUUUAGCGCAUCUGAAAUCUGCUGCAAAUUACUCGAGCGAAUCAAAUCCCAAAUAUCCCCACUAGUGAAAACUUUAGGAAUCCCAAAACAACCAACAAACAGCAGCAAACCCCUAGCAUCAAUUUCACAAGCCUUACUAACACCACCCUCAGCUAUAAGCCUCUUUCUCCAAGCAGCAGCAGCCUGUUGAGCCUCCUGCCUUAAAUCAGAAUCAAACUGAAUGCCAUCAUCAAGAAUUAACAAAAACAACUCCAAAACCAAAAUGCUAGCUUUUCUCCCAGGAACCAUAGGAGAAUCCUUAGUGUAGGCCCUACUCCCCUGCAAAUAAAACCCACCAAAACAAUCAAAGACUAACUUAGCCGGCUUGGGAGCGUAUUUUAAUGCGGUAGGAACUUCGUUGCGAAGUUUCGGAAUGUUUGUAAGAUUGGAGGUGAGAUAUUUACGGAGGCCUCUUCCGCACAUCAUUUCACAUAGACUUAUAAGCUCCGAUGAUGAUGAUGAUUUUGCUGGUGGUGGUGCUGAAUUAAUAACAGUUUCUUUUUUAGCAUCUGUUAUUGUUGUUUGAUUAUCAGUGACAAUUGUUGGUGUUGUUAUUGUAGGUGUAGGUGCGUCCUGAAUUUGCUGUUGUUCUUCAUGUUGUUUAAUGGAAGUGUGGAUAAAAUCGAGGUGGUUUUGUAAUUCACUAAAUCGACGAUAAAAUUCGUUAAUAGCAGAAGAGAGGGUGUUGAGUUCUUCAAUUGAUUGCAAAAACUGAGGUUCUUGUUGUUGGAUAGUGACGAUUGGGAGUUCUUCUACUGGUUCGCCUUUGACGUAAGGUUGUGGUAGUGGAAUCAAUGGUAGAGGUGAUUGGUGAUCUGGCUCCUGUUUAACGGAGAAUAAGGGAGGUGUUGCCAUGAGAAUGUGAGAGAGAGGAGAACAGGGUUAAUUUUGUGACCUAAUUUAAUAAUUCAGAUAUUUAUUAUUGAAACCGGAAAAGCCCUAAAAGACUCUUUAUAGUACGACGCGUGUGUACUUUUAGUUUUGCAGGGCAAUCGUAGUUUGAAGGUGGCACACUUCCAAUUUGAUCCCUGCAGUGUAGUGUCGUUUGGGAUUGUUUUUCUUCUUUUUUCUUUAGAAACAAAUAAUAAAAGACUAUUUUCACUUUCGUCCCAAAAAGAAAAACAAUAAAAUAAAACAAUUAUCACUAUGUGCUAAAACAUUUUUCAAAGCAGAGUUUGGUUGAAUCUCCCGAUCUUUUUUCUGGAUUGAAAAUCUGAAACUGACUAUGAGCAAAUCGUCUGCUAGGGUUAGAGAGAGCGAAAGGGGGGUUUUGCCUGUUAAGAUAAUCACAACAUAGAAAUUACAUCAAGAAACAAUAAUAUGCUUUACUCUCAUUUACAUUUGAAUCAAUCAAUUGCCUGCACUCGGCACAUUUACAAUUACAAAAACUUAUACAUUUAUGUACAAGUAGUAUAAGAUUAUAUCAUACACCAAUUAACUACAAGACUCUUGUUGUAUCAGACAACUGGAUACUCUCAUCUGAACCAUUUAUGACCACUGGGUUUCCUGAAGCAUCAAGAUCAACCCUUGCAGUAUCACCGGGCUUAAACUCUCCAGCUAGUAAUGCUUCGCUCACAGGAUUUUCAAUUAUUUCAGUCACUGCUCUCCUAAGUGGCCUGGCACCAUACACUGGGUCGUAACCUUGUUUGCAUACAAGCUCCUUGAUGGUUUCAGACACCUCCAAGCCAAUCCCAAGUGAUAUUAGCCUUUCUUUCACCUCUCGCAGCAUCAGACUUAAGAUCUUGAGCAUCUGAAAAUAUAAAUAUUAACUCAGCUAAACUCCAAUCAUAUUAAUCCAUAAUACUUGUCCUCCUUUUCUUUUUCUCUUUUUGAUACUAAUCCAUUAUCCUUGUCUAUAAAUGACAGAUCACAAGCAACUCGCAUUUAUCAGAAAAUUAAGUUUUUUUCACAGGGGAUGAGAAAAAUAAUUCUAGUGCGACCCCAAAGCCAUAAUGGAUCAAGGAUGCAGGCUUCGGAAUUUCAGAUGAUAAAAGUAAGUAGUAGAGUCAACAUGGAAUUGUCACAAACCUGAAUCUUCUCCAGGGGAUGAAAUACUACUACUUCAUCAAUCCUAUUGAGCAACUCUGGACGAAAAUAUGUUUUGAGUUCUUCCAUUACUAAUGCUUUUAUUCCAGCAUAUGAAGUUGACUCAUUAUCUGCAAUCAUGAAACCAAUAGAGGUACGUCCACCUUUUGCAAUGGCAGUAGAGCCUACAUUUGAGGUCAUUACUACCAACGCAUUUUUAAAUGAUACUUUCCGUCCCUGUCAAAGCAAGUCUCCCCAGGAUGAGAAACUACAUAAAACUUCCUGCCUAUUAUAGUCAAAGUUAUUACUUGCCCAAUGUGGUUCAACUGUUACAAACCUGAGAAUCUGUGAGGUGACCAUCUUCAAACAACUGGAGGAGGAUAUUAAAUACAUCUGGAUGAGCUUUCUCAAUUUCAUCAAGUAAAACCAAUGUGAAUGGACGUCUUCUAAUGGCUUCUGUCAGAGUGCCUCCCUCACCAUAACCAACAUAACCUGGGGGUGCUCCUAUUAAUUUGCUCACAGUGUGUCGCUCCAUAUAUUCACUCAUGUCCAAUCUCAGCAUGGCCGACUCCUGCAACAUGCAUGCAAGGCAGAAGCAGAAGAGAAUCAGAAGGUUGACCCAAACAAUUAAGGAUCAUAACCUACUUUGACUGGGUGCUGCUAAUCCCAUUGCAUGGUGAUAAUGUCAGAAUGCUGAUCUUUUAACAUGUUACCUUCUGAUUCCCAAAAAGCAUUCAGAUUUGCAAAUGUACAUUAAAAUUGUAUUCAUUAUUAUGAUAUGGAUAGUUUUUUUCUCCCCCCGGUUUUAAAGGAUAAUUUUCUCCCCCUUAUUUAAGGAUCUGAUGUUUCUGAGACUUUAGUAUUCUUCUUGCAUAGAAGUAUACAACUUUCUAACAACAAUAGAACAACUGCAAAGUGGGAUUCCUGUCAAUAAACUAUGGAAAUAACUAAAUGUAUAUAGCAGGAAAACUGUUUAAUACAUAAUUUUGAGGAAAAGAGAAGCAUCUUUCAGUUGGAUUUUUAAGUGAAAAUGCUGCAUGAAUUGUGCAAAAAGCCUCACCGAUCCAAAGUAGCAUGCUGCCAAAGCUUUUGCUAGUUCAGUCUUGCCAACACCAGUUGGGCCACAAAACAUCAUUGCUGCUAUGGGCCUAUCAGGAUCUUUCAAGCCAACCCGAGACCUUUUAACUGCACAAGAAAUUGCAGAAACAGCCUCAUCUUGACCAAUGACUCGUUUUCUGAGCUCAUCAUCUAGACCCACCAGAAACAUUCUUUCAUCAGCAGUGAGCUGCUGAACAGGGAUUCCUGACCAGAGAGAGGCCACUGCUGCUAUAUCAUCAGGCCCCACCACUGUUGGCCUGAAAGGAAUCACAACCAGAAUUUUAAUUAAAAAUAGAAGAGAGUCCUAGAUAAGCACAAAAUUUCUUUAAAAUCUUAAAACAUAAUCAGUGUCCAAAAUUCAUACUCGUCAUCCAACAUGACAUGUUCAGUGGACUUCAAAAUUAUUUCACCCGAGUCAUCAGUGCUGGAAGCACUGCCAUCAUGUGUCAUCCUACUUGCCAGAACCUGCUUGUAUUAAGAAUUAGAAAUCAAUAAUGUAAUCAGGGAUGACAAAAAUGUGCAAUUGCCUGUAGAGAAAAGAAUAUUACCACUUCAUGCAUGGCCUGAACAGUUCUAAUUUCUUGCCAAUAGUCAUCCGGUGACUUCGAAAGUAUGCAGGUUUGCUGUUCUUUCUUCUUCUUAUGGGACUCAAUUCGAGCUCUACUUCCUGCCUCAUCAAUUAGAUCAAUGGCUUUAUCUGGAAGAUAUCUAUCAGCAACAUAUCUUGCUGACAGAUAGACUGCAGCAUUUAUUGCUUCCAGUGUGAAUCUACAGUUAUGAUGGGCCUCAUAUUUCUGACGUAGACCCAACAGUAUUUUAACUGCAUCCUCCUAAACAGUUUCACAGACUUUGAGUAGAAGAAUUAAGACUGUUUUAUUAUAGUUGUAAACUAGAAGAAAAUGUAAGUUUGGAAUCACCUGGCUUGGCUCAUCAAUUGUCACAGGCUGGAACCUCCGUGCUAAUGCUUUAUCAAUUUCAAAAUGUGCCCUGUAUUCAUCUAUUGUAGUGGAUGCGAUGCACUGCAAGAGGAGCCCAUAUUGUAAACCGUCCAUGUAAACUCCAUAUGAUAAUAGGUAUCAUAAAGAAGUCAAGUUCAUUUUACAGAAAUCCCUUUAUAUUCUUUAUUGGCACAGGUCAAGCAAUUAAUUCAAUCACUGACAUACUUUGAUGACAAAAAAACUAUUUUUGGACCAACAACUAACAGAAGAUGGAGAAAAAGAGAUUCAAAAUCCGUAAGUUAUUCAGUAGAGGACAGGAAUUGGUUAGGUUAUCCUAUAAGAGGUGGAUUAAUAUAUCUACAUAGGAAUUAGUCCUUCAUAAACAUGGUGUUCUAUAUAUAUAAGAGCAUAGCAUGAUCGGACCAAGACACGGUACCUGCAGUUCACCCCUUCCAAGAGGUGGCUUCAGUAAAUUAGCAAUAUCGAGACCCGAUCCCUUGUUUCCCCGUCCAACUGUCCCUGUCCCAACAAUUGUAUGGACUUCAUCAAUAAAAAGAAUGAUAUUACCUUCUUUCAGUAUCUCCUUUAUUAACGCAGUAACACGUGCCUCCAGUUCUCCCCUUUCCUUUGCACCAGCAAUUAGUAGUCCCAUAUCCAAGGACAUUACACGUUUUGCCUGUGGAUGGAACAAGCUAAUUUACUAUUCUACAGUACAAGUUCAUUAAUGUGACCACCAACAAACACAUAUGGUUGAUUAAGAUAUAAAUAACAUAAAAAUACAGACAGCAAUUAGUUGCAAAGAAACAUACAAUGAGGAAAAGAGGUACAUCUGUCUGCGCAAUACGAGUUGCUAGUCCUUCGGCAAUGGCAGUUUUUCCAACCCCACUUUCACCAAGAAGAAUAGGGUUAUUUUUGGUUCGGCGACAAAGUAUCUGAACAAUUCUUUCAAUUUCAGUUUCUCGGCCGAUGACAGGGUCAAUGAGUCCUUCACUAGCACGAGCAGUAAGAUCCACACAGAAUUGAGCAAGAGCACUUUCUUCUGCCAAACACAAAUGAAUUGCAAAGAAUUCCUCUUUAAUCUCACAAUUUCAGGAAAUUAAGGGAAGAGAGAGUUAAAAACUACUUUUACCUCUUGUUUGCUCAGAGGAACUUAGUGCACCAGCUUUCUUCAAAAAGGACUUUUCACGUGCCCCUUUGGCUUCUACAGAUGGUUCUCU